UAUAUAGUUUCUUAGAAGAGAAUGCGCUUUUUGGAAUCUCAGGCUGAAGGAUUUGCUGACAUGGAAGAGUUCAGGGAUCUUCAAGCUUGCCUUGAUGAAGUGAAGACGAAACUCCAAUCUGGUCCCGUGGCUACCUAAGUAUCAGGAACGUGCUAUUUUUGAAUAUCAGGAAUGUGCUAUUAUUUUAGUUCGUACUGUAGUUGAGACCUUAACCAUGACUGAAUAUCUUGUAUUGCUGUACCACCUUUUCUGUAACAAAACAGUCUAGUUUUAGUAUUUUUAUUAUUUUUGUAUUUUCAGUGCUGUAACUAAUCUCAUUUGACAAUGUAAAUAUAUGGCUUCAAGUUAUUUAAAUGUAAAAUCAAGUGUUGUUUUCAACCUCUGUUCUUUUAUGUAUAGCUUACAUGCCGUGAUUUCAUUAACCUCAAUUUAAGGACAAUUUCAUAUCUUUUUUCUUUCUGCUUUUCUUUUAUCAUUUAAGAACAAAUAUGAAUAUAUUUCAGACAGCAUUUAAACAAAGCAACCGAACGUCGCUGGUUUCUAUUAUUACAUUGACAGCAAUAAAACAAAGAAGCAACUGAAAGUUAUCUUCAUAUGAGAAUGAAAGCUUUUCAGCAGCAUAACACUAUUCAUUUCCAAACGAGUUCCUCAACAUGAGAACAAAUUCGUAGACCUUUUCUGGGUCUGGAAGGAUCCUGGCAACAGUUUCCCUUUGCAUGCACUUGUUCAUCCAAGCGGAGAAUUUGGGGCACUCAUUCGCAUCCUUAAAUCACCCAAAUUUCUCAACCGCGUAAAACCAACAAAUUUCUCAACCCCCAAAUUUGGGACAUCAACGAAUCCAAAGCUAUCCCCGCCAAAGAAAUCCUUCUCCCCUAAAGCUCCCUCUAGUUGCUUCAAUAUCUCUAUAAAUUCAUUCUUUGCCGUCUCCUGUGUUUUAAAAAAUCUAUUGUAAUGGAUCUAUUGUAAAUUUAUCUAACUGCUUGUUAUAAUGCUUCUAUUGCGGUGUUAUUCGAGUUGUCAUUUUCAGUUUUAUUUUAUUUGUUCUUUAAACAUAGUUAAUUUGAAAUGUUCUUUAAUAUCCAUUACACUUGAGAUCAUCAAAUAAGUGAUUCUUGAAUAUAAUUGCUGUUGUUACUCGAAUAAGAAAAGAAAACAAAAAAUAGCUAAGGUAAAAGUAAAUGGAAAUGAGAGCAACGUGAUUUUGCAAAGAGAACUUCACACUAUCAUAAAACCGAAAACAUUACAAUUUAAAGCUUUAAUAACAACACAUCAAAGUCAAAUAACGACCCACUAGAAUCAUGGUCCAAAGAUUGUGCCAUGAUCACAACAUGAACUACAAAAAAAUAACCAACACCAGAAAAGUAGGAACAGUUUGAAACUUUCAACUAAGCAGCAUUUAUGAUUCCACAUCAGCAGCCCUAAACACAUCUUCUAACAAUCGCAACUGCUCAUUUUUGCUUCUGCCAAUAAAGAGUUGAUUGUAACCAAAGAUUGUUGUCUUUAUUGUCAUUUGAGAGUAACAAAUUACUUACGCAGUCACGUAAGUUGUUGGUUGGCCUCGCACAUUUUUGAGAAGUUUGUUUCUGAAGGAAACCAGCUGAGCCGCAACCUCUUCCAUGCUCAUUCGUUCUCUCGGCAACUCUGAAGAGCAAAUGGCUCCGAUUCCCAGUACGGAAACCAAGCACUCUUUACCACUAAAACUUCUGGUCCAUUGUUUGUGAGCAUUGGCGUUGCUUUUCUCCCCUUCUUCUCUUUCUACAAGAAGCACUGGAUCAACAAUUUCAGCGAGUCUUUCAGGAAGAGCUUCCUUGACAAAAUUAUGUAGGGUUAGAUUGCCUGUAAACAUUUCAUUCGUCGGCCUCUUUCCUGUAAACAUUUCCAGCAAGAGUAUUCCAAAACUGUACACAUCUCCACUUGUUGAGACUUCGCUCCCCAUUCCGUACUCUGCAAUUCGAAAACUAAAAUUGUUGGUUCAACUAGUAAAAUCUCAAAGGAUUGAAAGACAAGUUAAUUAAAUAAUAGUAAUUACCUGGAGCAGCAUAACCAACGGUUCCUUUUACUCCAACAGAGCUUGAUUGAUUAGAUGACAAGUUAUUGGUGGCUUCCGGAAGGAAUUUUGCUAAUCCAAAAUCACCUACAUGGGCAGUCAAUUCACUAUCCAGAAGAACAUUGCUUGGCUUGAGAUCACAAUGGACUAUUGGAGUUUCGCAAUAAUGAUGAAGAUAAUCCAAUGCAGAAGCAACAUCAACGGCAAUACUCAGUCUUUGCAGGAGAUUUAGAUUCUUAAGUGCCUCACGGUUUGGAUGCAACCAUUCCUCCAGGCUUCCGUUAACCAUGAACUCAUAAACUAAAGCCUCGAAAUCAUUUCCUUGGAAGUCAACACUUGCACAGGAAGUUAUUAUUUUGACGAGAUUCCGAUGCCUAAUAUUUCUCAAGGCCUGACACUCCGCUAUGAAACUCUUUGAAGCUCCUCGAUGUUGAAGAUUAAGCACCUUAACUGCCACCAGCGUUUCAUGAUCAUCAUGAUUGAGGACUCCUUUAUAGACCGAACCAAAGCUACCGGCACCAAUCAAGUUUUCCAAAGAGAACCCGUCAGUUGCUUUGAACAGAUUCUCAUAGGACACUCGUAAAACCGAAGCCAAGAGAGCUGAUGGAGGAGUGGCCGGCUUCCUUUUUGAUUUGCCCCGCCAGGAAGUAAUUAUCAAACACGACAUCCCUGUUACUAACAAAAUUCCUGUAACAACAGGAAUAAUCAGUUUCAGGAAACGGGAACGUGAUUGCAUUGAUUCUUUGAUGGAACAAGUAGAUAAAUGCAACUCAGAUAUGCCACCACAGAGGUUAUCAUUUCCGUCAAGAGAUAUAGCACUCGAAUUGCUGAAGACUCCUUUUAUUGGUACUUCACCCUCAAAAUGAUUAAAAGACAGAUUUAAAUUCUGCAAAAAGGGAAAGUUUUCCAGAUAUUUUGGAAUUCGGCCAGACAAAUUGUUCCUCGAAAGAUCAAGAUUCUCAAUGCCUCUCAAAGAACUGAAUGAUGAAGGGAUAUUCCCUUGAAAGAAAUUACCAUUCAUGAUGAGUUGUACCAACAUAAUGCAACUUCCUAUACUGCUUGGAAUUUCACCAGACAAUUUGUUCUCCGAUAUGUCUAUAAAACCCAGAUUUUUCAAGAUACCAAAAUUAGAGGGCAAAGGACCAUUCAAAUGGUUUUGAGAUAGAUCAAGAUAGAUUGACAAGGAAGAGAGGCCAAUCACUUCAGUGGGUAUGGUACCACUGAGGUUGUUAUUGGAGAGAUCUAAUAAUAUCAAGUUUUGGCAUUUCCCUAGACUUGAUGGAAUGUUUCCCUCUAACAUGUUUUCCGCAAAAUCUAGUAUAGCUAACGAUGUCAAAUUUCCUAUAGAAGAUGGAAUUUCCCCCCAAAACUUGUUCCCCAGAAGCCACAACGUCUGCAGCUUAUGAAGAUCUCCUAUACUUCCCGGAAUUCGGCCUGUGAAUUGGUUGCCCCCAAGGUGUAAAAGCUCUAAGUUAACAAGAUUUCUUAAUCGAUUUGGGAAAUUUCCGAACAACUGAUUGUUUCCAACUAUUAAUAUUCUAAGUCGGGUUGACAAGUUCCCCACAGCUUCAGGUAACAUUCCACCAAAAUUGUUGUCACUAAUUUGCAGUAGCUCUAGUCUGGAAGCGUUGACCAAAGAAUUGACAAAUUCCAAGUCAUCCUUUUUCCCAUUUCCUAAGUGAUUCAGAUAAAAACUAACCCAUUGGAGUUUAUGUAAAUUUUCCAAACUAGGCACCUUUCCACUGAAUCCAUUCAUUGGGAUUGUAAGUCUCAUUAGAUUUGAGGCAUUGGAUAUUGAAGCAGGAAUAGGCCCAGUAAACUGAUUACCACCAACGUUUAAUCGUUCAAGAUUAGGCAGAGUGAAGCCUAAGUCUGAUGGAAGGCUUCCUUGAAGUUGGUUAUGAGGGAAAUCCAAAUAAUUAAGCGAAGACAAGUUGUAGAUUGAGAAAGGGAUUUCACCUGAUAGCUUAUUUACUCCCAAUAAUAUAUCACGCAUCCUCUUUAGCUGACCCAGUGUUUCAGGAAUUUGUCCCACAAAUUGAUUUGCAGCUGCUGAGAGGACCUCGAGUGAUGACAAAUUGCCCAAGGAAGAUGGGAUUUCUCCCGAAAAAUUGUUGUAGUGUACUGUGAGCAUCCGGAGCUUUGAUAUGGAGCCUAGUAACCCAGGAACUUUCCCCACAAGCUCAUUGACGCCUAACCUGAGGGAUUCAAGGUUAACGCAAUGCGAUAUGUUGUCAGGAAUUUGACCUCCGAAUGUAUUGUUGUUCAGCUCCAAAAUUCGUAACCUGAACAGAUAUCCAAUCUCUUGAGGGAUUUCGUUGCGGAAGCUAUUGUUUUUGAGAUCUAACACUCUGAGAAAACUCAAAUUACCAAUGUGAGGCGACAGAGACCCCUGCAAGAGUAAAGAUGGAAGACGUAAUCCAGUCACCCUUUGGUGCCGUCGACUGCAAGUGACACCUUUCCAUUGACAAAAGUGCCUGGAAUAGUUCCAUGAUCUCAAAACCUCAAGAGGGUCAUGAGUAACUUUGGCCUUGAAUUGAAGCAAUGCAAGUUGAUCAGUUUCAUUGCUUUUGAGCAUAUAAUCGGUUGAUUGCAAGCUGAAGCUGAAGCAACAUAAAAUAAAGAAACAAAUGCUUACAAUGAUUGAACUCAUCAUGUUUACAAAAUUCAUUUAACUGCCGAAGGAAAUUAAAAUGAUAAAACUUUUAUAGAGGUUUGUAAGAUAAAAUAUGUUUGUAUAUAUUUUGCAAUGAUUUAUGGACUCUGUCUUUGAUGCUCAAAUGUGAACCAGGUGGCACCGUGACAGUGAAACUAAUACUUUUUCUUUUUCUAAUAAUAUUAAUUAUCAUAUUUAUUACUAUUGUAAGAAUAAUAUACUGCAGCUUUAAAGAAAGACUCACCAUACUCUCUUUUGAGUUUAAUCACCAAUAUUGAAAAGGAAAAAAAAAGUAGGGCAAGAGAAAGGUAAAUACGAUGGGUGGAGUGUUAAGACUACUGUUAAAUGAGUUGGGAAACGUUCAAAGCACGAUGGGAAUUAAAGAUUCACAACACCUUUUUUCUAAAAUUUUCAAUACAGUCUCCCCCAAAAUUUGCUAGUGCAACAAAGAGACGUCGCGCCGUUAACAAUUUUAAACUGUAAAUGACAUGUCGUUUUCACAGAAUUCGUUUAACUGCCGGAGGAAAUUGAAAUUAUAAACUUUUAUAAAGGUUGGUAAGAAAAAAUAUACUUGCACAUAUUUUUUUUUCAAUGAUUUAUGGACGCUGUACUUGAUGCUGAAAUGUGAACCGGCUGGCACCGGGACAGUGAAAUUAAUGCUUUUUGUUUUUCUAAUAAUAUUAAUUAUCCUUUUCCUUUAAGGAAGACCCGCCACACUCACUUUUGACGCUCUAUCAGUUUCCAGCAUGUUGUCGUUUUGUAUUUUAGUGCAUUAAAGAAAUCCACAAUGAAUAUAAAAUAAUUUAAUCAACAGUAUUAGAAAAAGAAAAAAAGUAGGAUAAGAAAGUUAAGUAUGAUGGAUGGAGUUUCACAUUUCUGUUAAAUGACUUAGGAAAUGUUUAAAGCACCACAGGAAUCAACGUUUCACACGCUUUUUAGAUUUUUUUUCUAAAAGGAAAAAGAUAUUCUCACGAAAGAAAGUACAAAAUUUCACACAAAACGGUGCAUUUAAAUAAAGUAAAAUUGCAAAAAUACUCAAAAUAUAUAAGAUUGAUCAUUUACACCCUCCUUGUUUUUUUUGGGUGAACUAUUUCUGGAAAAUGGGCAGAGCCUAGUUUUGGUUCAAAAUUUGAAAUAACAAAUGGUAUAUUGGUGGAAAACCAACGACAUAUUUUCUAAUGCUUAACCUAAAUGGGAAUUAUAUCGGUUUGUACUGUCAAUAUAACAAACAACUAACUAAAUUAUUUAGAAGUCAUGAAUAAAAAUGGAUAGAACAAGAAGUAUAUUGCUAUUCGAUGCAAGAUGUUGGAUUAUUAAACCAUAAUAAAAUAAUAUAACUACACAUGUGCAAUGUUAUUCACUAAAAAGAUUUAAUUUAGAUAUUAAACAGUUAGUGCAACUGUAUCGAUCUCAUCCUCAUUAAUUUAGAGUUUGAGAACUCAUAAUAAAAGAAAAUAGAAAUUUAAACAUAGAUCCUAUCCUAUUAAGUAGAAUCAGAAAAGAAGUUUAUAGAAAUAAUUUUUCACGGAAGCAAUGAAAUAUUAAUCCGGUUGAUGGAUAUAUUGGUGAACACAUAAUAGAAUAUUAUAAUAGAUUUUUAUCUAUCAAGCAAAGGGAAGAAUAUAAUUGGAAUAACAAAAGAAUUAGAAGUAAAUAGUAAUAUGCUAAUAGGAUAUAAAGGAUUAUUAUUAAUUAUCGUAUUUGUGUAUAUAUAUAUAUAUUUUAAAUGAUUUAGGGACUCUGUACUUGAUGCUGAAAUGUGAACCGGCUGGCACCGGGACAGUGAAACGAGUACUUUUUUUAUUAUUACACGGCCUGUCGUUUUCAAAGAAAAAUUUUAUCAUGGUAUUCUUAUCCCCUAGCUGCCGUUUGUCGUUUGGAAUUUCUCUGUAUAAGAUUUUAAAGCAGCAAAAAUUUCGCCAUCUCGCGCCGGGGGGGUGGGGUGGGGGGAAGAUGAUGAUUCCGUGGAAUAUUAUCUUCGACUUAUCUGCUAUAAUCAGUGCUAACCGAUUUUGACACAUUUGCAGUAACGGAAGGGUUACAAUUACACGAGAUUGACACGAGGUAAUUAGCUAGUCAAGUCUCCGUGGGAAAAUUGUAAGCACUCAAGACUUAAAAAAGACUUUAUAAAGUAAGGCGUAUUAUGGAUGGUGUGGUUUGAUUCUCACUUGCAUCAAUUGUUCUUUUCAUUUUUCAUUGGAGGAAAGGAAAUUCAAGAGCCUGGUGUAUCUAGCAAAUUUUGUAACACGUUCUUGUAAGAUAAAAUAAAUAAAUAAAUAUAUCGGAUCCUAUUUCAUAGUUUAGUUAUAGGGUUAUUCGGAUGUCUGAAUUCAAAACAAGUUAAGUUUAAUCUCUAAAUAAUUUUGAGGAAAUCUUUCUACAAGGAGAGUUUGAAAUCAAUCACUACCCAUGUGUCAUUGGUCAGAUAAAUAGGUUAAGAACUCUAAUCCUAUCCCGACACAAAAAAAAAUCGUAUCGACUCGGACCUAGUCCAUUUUAAAUAACGGUUUAUUUAAAAUAAUUAUUUUUAUAAUAAUAAUUACUACUAUUAGUUGUCCUAUUAUUAUUAUUAACAAUAAUUAUUUUAAAUAAAAAUUGUAAUUAUUAUAAUAAAUGAUGACAAUAAUCAACUAAGAUUAUUUUGGUAUUGUAAUAAUCAAUUCCAAUUCCAAUAAAAAUUAGAUACAUUAGUGACAAUAUAAAUUAGGGUAGGGGUGGGCAAAUUCGGUUUGGAUCGGUUUGGGACAUAUCCUCAAACCGAUCCAAACUAAUCGGUUUGAAAUAUUUUCAAACCGAUAUCAACCUAAAAUUUUUUUAAACCGAACUGAUCCAAACCGAUUGGAUCGGUUUGGAUCCGGUUUGAACUUAUUAGCUAAAAUUUCACUUCUUUUAUAUUAUUUUACCUAAAUUAUUUGUUAUUUUUUUGUGUCCGCAAUCUAAAUUGAUACCUCUUUUAUAUUAUUCAUAUCUACUUUGAUAUCUACAUAACAAUUCAAAGAUACAUCCAUACAAGUUUACAGCAUAAUACAUCCUAAUAAACAAGUUCUUAACCUGUUCAUUCAAAACAAACUCACAAAAUUAAAAUAAACUUAAACCACACUUGACAAUUAAAAUAUUGUGCAUCUUGUCCGUCAAAAUUUAUAGUCCAAUUACUUUUGAUUUGUUAAAAUCUGCAUAAAAUGAUAAAUAUAAUUAUUUAGAUUGAUUAACUUAAAAUAUAAUGUAAUUAUAUAAUAUUUCUGGAUUGGAUCGGUUUGAAUCGGUUUGGAAUCCUUCCAAACCGAGUGAUGUCGGUUUGCAAUCCAAUAAACUGAAACCAGUUUUUUUACUAAUGAAACCGAUCCAAACCGAUCCAAAAGGUCGGUUUGGAUCGGUUCGGUUAAAAUAUGCCCACCCCUAAAUUAGGGGUUAUUUUUAGAAACCUCCCCUGAAGUUUAGUGUAUUGACAGUCGGAUAGAAAGUAUUCAUAUAAUUACAGGGACCUCCCCUGACGUUAGUAUUCCGCUAAGUGGACUGUCAGUUGACUAUUGAAAUUCCAAAAAUGCCCUUGCCGCAAAAAUAUAUUUUUAACAUAGAGGAGGUUGCGCUCUGAUCCUUUGUUCUGAAUUCAUUUUUUAUCCUUUGUUCUUAGUCACGGUAUAUAAGCCCCAUCCUUACCAAACAAAAUUUUAGAUCAAACAUGCUUAAAGAAAAUGGAUAAUGCAACAUCUAAAAUAAUUUUAAAACACAAAACAACAAAUACUCCACAUUUCAAAGUAAUAAAAAAAUAAAUAAUCGUAGUGCAAAUAGAUUAAACCUGAGCAGAUUUAUAGGCAUUAAGAGUAUUCUCAACGGCGACUUUCCUCUCAUCGCCAGUCUUAAACUCAGCCAAGUUAAGCAAACUCAUGUCGAAACCAAAAUUAGAAUUUAGAAAGGAAAAAAACAGAAUUGAGAAUCAAUUUAUUUUUUGGGAGCACGUGAGUGAUGAGUUUUGGAAUCUAAAAUGAUAUCAAGUUAUGAAGUAUUUUUGGUGUAAACGCAACAGCCAUGAGAGGAGAGUGACGAGAAACUUCCAAAAAGAGGUGAAAAAAAAAACAGAAGAGAAAAAGGCCAAAAGGAAAAAGACUCAAAAAAACAAAAACAGAGAGGAGACGCAAGGGCAAUCAAGCAAGCAGACAAACAAUUUAAAACCUGAGCAGAUAAUCACCCUUCAUCUUCAAAUAAAACACCUUGGAAUCGGCAGCGGCAGCGGUGGGAACCAAUUUCUGGUCCAAUAAUUUCAAGAUCCCGCCACAGGAUCUCCAUCAACUCGGCUUCGAUCUUCGAUCUGUACUCCUUAAUCACGGAGACAUGGUCUUGGUUGCCGUGCGACUCGUCCUUCUGCUCGAUGGAGGACACGAUGCACCAAGAGGCGCGCCGUGCGCCGAUGACGUUCUUGUAGGCGACGGAGAGGAGGUUCCUCGCUGGUCGAGGCAGAGACGACGACUUUUUCCAUGUAUUGGACCAUCUCCUCGUACCACUCGGCUUGCUCCGCAAGUUUUUCCAUGUAUACGUUUUCUUCCCGUGGAGAAGGGGCUGCCAUUGUUCCGUUCAGUUAUCUUUGUGUUUGUUUGAAUUUUGUUUUUGUUUAAAUUUUAAAUUUAUUUUUACGUAUUUACCCUUUAUAAUAACGUUAUACGUAUUUUUGUAUUAACGUUAGGGGAGGUCUUUGUAAUUACAUGAAUAUUUUCUAUCCGACUGUUAAUACACUAAACCUCAGGGGAGGUCCCUAAAAAUAACCCUAUAAAUUAUUACAGCUAAAAUAAAUAAUUUAUAAUAAUUCUAAUUCUUUAUUUCAAUUCUAUUUUGAUUCUAUCUUAUUCCGAUUACUGAUUGGUAAGCAUACCACUAAACGAAAUGAAACUGUCCAUACACAAUAAAAUCUCUUUAAUUGAUCAUCUAGCCCAGCUAAAAUCAACGGUCCCGAAAGAAACAAUUUCGGAACUACUCAAGCCUGCAAAUCUUGCACUGUCGUAGUAAGUUACAGGAAUUUGAUUGGACGAUGUAAUAAAGAUGAAGGAUAAGAUCGCCAUUCGCCAAUCAAUUUUCUGUCCGCAUCAAGCAAAUAGGCCAUCUGUGAGGCGCAAAAUGAGUUAAAAAGAUGGAUAAUUUUGGAAUCCAUUAAUCCACAAUGAACAUAAAACAAUUUAAUCAACAGUAUUAGGAAAGAAAAGAAAAGUAGGAGAAGAAAGUUAAGUAUGAUGGAUGGAGGUUCAGAUUACUGUUAAAUGACUUAGGAAAGGCUUAAAGCACCACAGGAAUCAACGUUUCACAAAGCUUUUUUCCCUUUCUGAAAUAUUCGGUGCAGUCUCCCCCAGAUUUUGCCAGUGCAACCAAGAGACGUCAUGCCGUUAUCAAUUAUAAACUGUAAAUGACAUGUUGUUUUUACAAGACAUAUUAUGCGUCGAUACAUACCUAUGAAUGGGUUCAAGAAAUUCAGCAGGUUGCGAAACAAUAAGAUUCAUUCAAUCCGCGUAGAUAUCUGACUGACUGAAAUUAAAUAAACGAUGAUGAUAAGAAAUUUGAAAUCAACAAAUCUCGGCACAUCUAUUCUGCAGUUUGGCCGUACUUCAAAUAACCUUGCGAUAAAAAUUUCAUAAAAAAUCUCAGAAAGAGGACAGAACAACCAAGGCAUCAGCGAAAGCAAUCGAGGCAGGGCACGCUCAAGCCACGAAUUAGAGGAAUUUUAAAUAUCAAAACCUGCUCAGAAUAAUAAGAAAUAAAAUGAAACUACAAAAGGCUCAGAUUUUUGGAUGAGUGAAGGGAAGAUGAGAAGAUGAAAUGCAGAAAGUCAAGAAAUGAAUAAACCAAUAUUAAUAAUCUUGGACCCACAGCUCUAAUUUGGAUUAAGCAUCCAUCUACCUAUGUGGAUAAUAUUUUUGCUAACUUUUCAGCCAUGCAGCAGGAUCAUGUUCGUCCUGUUUUAUUUGAUAGAAGGAAUUUUCCCCUGGAAGAAAAUGAUGAGUCGUUUCAACGUCAUGCAACUGCCUAGACUGCAUGGAAUUUCACCAGACAAUGACAAUUUAUUCUCAGAUAUAUCUAACGCCCCCACAUUUGCCAAAUUUGAAGGCGUCCGUUUUGAGACUGAUAAAAACGUUUUCCAAAAAUUCGGGAUUCAGGUCGAUCAGACCGGUUAUGUUUUGCAAAACUUGUAAAUUUUCAGUGAUCAAAAUUCAAAACUUUGCAAAUAGGUCAAAAUAUGAAAAAUACUUGAUAUAUUAUUGAAUACUCAUUUUGUUUUGCAUUAAUAUACGGCUGUGGGUGCUAUCUAGUUCUAUUAGUAAAAUUCCUUGGGUUGAAAACAAGAAAACUAGCAUUUGAAACUCACCCAUAUGGAUGGGAAAGAAAUUUAGUUACCAUUGGAUUAAAAAAUAAUAAUAACAAUUAGAAAAAAAUUGUAAGGCUUCGACAAGAUUUGCUAAUCAUGUAUAGAUUAAUAUGAAGAUUAAGAACAUCACCUAAGCCAAUUAUUGAAAUUGAAAUUUUAGGAGAAAAAUUUAUGUGGGUUUGGCCACCAAUUUAGCAUUAGGAACUUAUUGUUUAGGAAGCUAUGGUGGGUUUCGUAGUGGGACUUAUCCUCUUUAAUGCAUAUGGUGAUUUUAAACCAACAUUUAUAUAAUCCCAUUAUAAAACUCAUCAAACCUUCUAAAAUAACUCGUUGAGAUAGUGUGCUAGAUCCAUAUAAAUAUUUCUCCAACUUCUUAGCUUGAAGCGAUAUUCAUUUCCAUUGAUAGUUUAAUGGGCAAAGCCUUUUGAAUUCUCCAGGUUAUCAAGUUAUUUUUUGCUGGAAAAUGCAAUCCGGAUAUGAAUAGAUUUUUUUGUGCAAUCAAAUUUUCUAUGUUGACGCAUCCUCUAGAACUUUCAGUAAAUUUUAUGGAGAAGCUUUAAUUUCUUAGUUGUUGAUUUCGAAUAAAAAAUUAAACUUAACUUUAAAAUUACAGUUGUAAUUAUAAAAUAUUUACUGAAUACAUUAGUGUUAAUACUACAAAUUGUUCCAUUAAAAGUCUCUCAAAAAGGAAGAAGUGACUUAAAAAAUUAAAAGAAUGCAGGAGCUGAAGUUGGCAAUUUUGUAAAUUGCAAUGGCAAUUGUGGGCUAGUAAAAUCCCUCAAUGAGUCACAGCACUAGCAAUUUCGUAAUAUACAUUAGUGGCAAUUUUGUAAAAUUGAAGUUGUGAUAGUUUUGCAAAUAAAAGUAAAAGCUUUUUGCCUAAAUUCGGCUGAGCUAAAAGCCAGCUUAGCCCACACUCUCCUUCGCCACCGGUUGACGAGCUCUUCCUUCAAUUUUUGAACUUGAAGUGAUGCCCCAUCGAUGUCCAGAAUUUUUAAAGUCAGAAUGAUGAUCCUAAUGAUUCUUUUUAGAUAGUCACCUGUACGUUGACGUGUUUAAUUGAUGUUUAUUUAAGCAGAAAUUGAAGUUUGAUCCCUGAUUAAUUAGAUGAGAACACACAUUCAUGAGUAAAUACUUAAAAUUAAAUUAAUCAAAAUAGUAUAAAUACAGGAGAAAAUCGAUCAUAUGCGUGCAGACAUCACAAUCGAAUUAUAUAUAUCACCGCCGCACAUAAAUUUGAUUCCCAUGAUAUGUGAUUAAUUAAUUAAUUUUUUUAAUAACAAUUAAAUUGUAAUGUCAAUUGUCCACAUAAGUUUUUUGUUUUUGUUGAUGAAAGUUAGUAAUUUUUUUCCAUCUUUUUAAAUAAAAGUUGUUAAUAAAUAUCAAGAAAAUAUUGGGACUUGAGAUCAGGGUCUACUUAAGUUAGAAUUUUUUAUUAGAAAAGCUAUAGCCAGCGAUGAAAAAUAAAGAAGUAACACAAGAUAAAGAGUAAAAUGAGAGAGCAUAUAUUAUAAAAAGAUUUUACCCAUUUCAAGUGUGCACCAAACAAAGAGACGAACUCUCAUUUUAUAGUUACAUAAUUAUUACAUGAAAUUAAUAAAAAUAUUAAGAAUUAUAAUUCCUUGCGAGAUAGUGGGAGUUAUAGAAAAGUCAAGAGUUGUUAGUGGAAGAUAGCAAGAAGAGUAAAAAAUAUAUGUUAUGAACAUUCACAUUUAUUUUAAUAAAUUUACAGUAUUUUUUUCGUUAAAUAAUAGGGUGUGGAGAACAAUUGGAAGGACUUUACGUGUGUUUAUAUAUUGACAUAAAAAUUGCAGGACGUGUAGUUUAGCGUUUCUUGGUUGUUCAGUGCUAGUUUUCUAAAUCUCGAGCGUGCGGGUUAUUUUUCGUUACCUUUAUCACCGAAAGGCUGUUUUAACCAACUAAGAACUAAAAGCUAAAACCCAAAACCCCCCUCUUGUUCUUUUCCAGGGACUUUACCUUGUCCUUGAUGGCCGAAAAGCAACUGGAAAUCCUCCGCGGGUACGAGCUGCGGCUCUUGCGCUGCACCCUCGCUCCCCCACCGUCCGAUCUUCGCAUUCAAUCGCAACCGUUGAACGAAGAAAGCCAAUGCUCUAUCCUUCCACUCCACGAGCACAUCAACAGCCUCAUCAACUCCAUCGAGUCCGGCCACUAUCUCCAGGCUCUGUCCUCCGACGAGGCUAAACACGCUCUCGACACGCUCGAUUUCGUCGACAUCAACGACUCAGCCGAGUGUGCCGACCGCGUCUACUCCGAGCUGCUCCAGCUUGUCGAAGCGUCUAUAGUGAACGAUUCCGAAAUUGACGUGGAUAAGGCUUGUCGAGUUAUUCUGCUCAUGUGUCUUUCAAUUGCUGCCCUUUUUUGGUUCACUCAGUGUAACGUGACUGGGUGAGUUUCUUAUUUAUAAAUUUUUAAAUAAUUGCAAUUAAUUAAUAAUAAAUAUUAGUAAAAAAUUAAUCAAAAAAAAGGUUUAGUGAUGAACCUUGUCGAGGUGCCUUCUAAUAGAAAAGAGCUCACGGCAAGAUGAAAUGCAAAGUAAGUUGUUUUAUGGUUGGGCGGUGUGUAGCCGUCUUGUUGAAGGCCAUAAGAUGUUAAGCAUAUUGCUGUUUAAUUUUUAAAUCAUUCUCAGUAAUAAUUCCUUUAGUAGAUUGAUGAUAAGAGAUUGCAUUGCAGAUGAUAACUGAGCACAAUUUCUGUAGUUGUAUCCCUGUACAUCCAUCUUAAUAUCCUCAUUAUAUUCACAUGCCUUUUACGGGUGUUAUUUCUGGAUGCAGAAUGCUUUGUUCCACGUCUGGAUACCAAAUGCUUUGUUCCACAAAGCUGAGCUGGUUGAAAAGCUAGCUGAUGAGGUCAACAUGUCCCUUAAGUAAUUUGAGGAUGAACACUGUGUUCCCGAAAGUCUUACUCUAAUGAUACUUAAAGAAGCAAUGAGAAUGGAUGUUGCAGCAGCUUUGCUGAACUCAACCCCAGUUCCAAAAAUGGAACAUGUGAAAAUGCAUUGUUUUUUUUUUUUUUUUUCUCUCUCUUUAUGACUUCUUUGGUUGGGAAUGUAUUAGAUAUUCACCUAAUCAGUAGGCCUUGAAGGGAUCCCAUGUUAGCCCCUUGAUGUUGGUCUGUAACUAAGUAAAUACUUGACCUUGAAAAAGCUUUUGGAGGCAUCAGUUCUCUCUGACUGUGUGCUACUUUUUGGAUCUGUUGAUUUGGUCAUUUGCUGAUUUAUAGUUAUUUUUCUGAUUCAGGAUGGGAUAUGGCUCCAUACAUAUAUAGGCAAUUGAUUCACAGCAGUCGUCAUGCUUCAUUGUAAUUAUAUAUACAAUACAGCAUCAGUUUUUCUUGAUUUUAAAUCUCGUAUUCUGAAGUGGUACUUCUGAUUCUCACAUGAUUUUUCCAUCUUUCAGCUAAAGUUUUUCUGUGAUCUCUUCCGUAUUAGAUGGGAGUUCACCCGUAGUCGCACAAAAGGGCGUGCUUUAGAGAUGAUGGACAAACUGGUAUGAUCUGUGAGCCUUUUCUUCUUAAAUAUUUUGUUACCUAAAUCAUUUUCAUUCAAAUUUACAAGAGUUGCCUAUGGAUCUAUAGAAGAUUCCAAACUUUCUGCAGCUAGUAGUUUCUUGGUUUCCGUACUGUCCAUCGGGUAAAGAUUGAAUGUGCAUCAUUUAUAAACUUGUCGGGAUCUUCCUUCUUAGCUUUGAGAUUGCUCCUGCAUAUAGGUAGAACCAAAGGCACAAAUGGUACUUGUUGCAAACACAAGCUCAUCCAACACUUCUGAUGUCUGCCCUUCAAUAAACCAAGUCAUUCAUACACAUGAUUCUACUAUUGGUGAUGCCUCUGAUGUUUUUGUGACCCCAAAAUUAUUGGGGAAUAGUCAUGAAUCUGAAUCUGGAGUCCAAUGCAUUCAUGCUGGUGGCUCAGCAGCCCAUUUAAAGGCAAUCCAACAGGCAGUGAUCUUGUCGAGGUGCCUUCUAAUAGAAAAGAGCUCACGGCAAGAUGAAAUGCAAAGUAAGUUGUUUUAUGGUUGGGCGGUGUGUGGUCCUCUUGUUAAAGGCCAUAAGAUGUUAAGCAUAUUGCUAUUUAAUUUUUAAAUCAUUCUCAGUAAUAAUUCCUUUAGUAGAUUGAUGAUAAGAGAUUACAUUACAGAUGAUAACUGAGCACAAUUUUUGUAGUUGUAUCCCUGUACAUCCAUCUUAAUAUCCUCAUUAUAUUCACAUGCCUUUCACGGGUGUUAUUUCUGGAUGCUGAAUGCUUUGUUCCACUUUUGGAAACCAAAUGCUUUGUUACACAAAGCUGAGCUGGUUGAAAAGCUAGCUGAUGAGGUCAACAUGUCCCUUAAGUAAUUUGAGGAUGAACACUGUGUUCCCGAAAGUCUUACUCUAAUGAUACUUAAAAAAGCAAUGAGAAUGGAUGUUGCAGCGGCUUUACUGAACUCAACCCCAGUUCCAAACAUGGAACAUGUGAAAACCAAAAAUGCAUUGUUUUUUUUCUCUUUAUGACUUCUCUAGUUGGGGAAUGUACUAGAUAUUCACCUAAUCAGUAGGCCUUGAAGGGAUCCCAUGUUAGCCCCUUGAUGUUGGUCUGUAACUAAGUAAAUACUUGACCUUGAAAAAGCUUUUGGAGGCAUCAGUUUCUCUCUGACUGUGUGCUACUUUUUGGAUCUGUUGAUUUGGUCAUUUGCUGAUUUAUAGUUUGUUUUCUGAUUCAGGAUGGGAUAUGGCUCCAUACAUAGAGACAAUAGAUUCACAGCAGUCAUCAUGCUUCAUUGUAAGUAUAUAUACAAUACAGCAUCAGUUUUUCUUGAUUUUAAAUCUCAUAUUCUGAAGUGGUACUUCUGAUUCCCACAUGAUUUUUCCAUUUUUCAGCUAAAGUUUUUCUGUGAUCUCUUACGUAUUAGAUGGGAGUCCACCCGUAGUCGCACAAAAGGGCGUGCUUUAGAGAUGAUGGACAAACUGGUAUGAUCUGUGAGCCUUUUCUUCUUAAAUAUUUUGUUACCUAAACCAUUCUCAUUCAAAUUGACAAGAGUUGCUUAUUUAUCGAUAGAAGAUUCCAAACUUCUGCAGCUAGUACUUUAUUGGACCCAAAAGCUUUUUUGCUUUUUCUAAGCUGCUAAUCAAGACUAGGUUUCUCUCCCUUAUAUCGCUAGAUAUGCCAUUAAUCGUUUGAUUUAAUUGUCUAGAGAGAUUAGAUACUUGCAUCUUUGCUUUUCACUUCACAAGUGAUUUCAUGUGCUAUCCUGUAUUCUGGUUCAAGAUUUUUGAUGGUUGCUUACUAUCAUAUUUUGCUUUGUUUCAGGUUGAGGGCAUUUCUAACUCUUCUCCCGGUGUGACUCAAAGUAUUCCCUUUUGUUAUGUGAUUUGCAUUCCAACUAUUCCUGCCCUGCGAAAGUAAAACUAUUUCUUCUGCAUCUUUGAAUGAUUGUGAUUUAAUUUUCUUGUCAUUUUGCCAACUAUCAUUAUGCUGUCAUUGUUUCAUAUCUUAUUUGACAUAUGUUGAUUUGGAUAGAUUUUAAUUGCUCUGUUUAUUCUCUUUAUAAUCUGUCUAUUUCGAUUUUUCUUCAUUUUAGGGAAUAUGCUAAACUUUUAGUAAGCCGUGGCUUGAUUGGAGAGGCUAUUAAAAAUUUUGAGGAUCUGGUGUUGUGGGAUAGUCUAAUACUGCAAUUGGUAUGAUGUCAUAGAUAACCAUUACCCUAAUCUCUCUGUCUAUCUCUCUCUCUCUCUCUUUCGUGUUGCUAAUGGGAGUUGGUUUUGUGUAUGAUGUAAAAAACAGCCUAUUGGGGAAGAAAGCAGCAGCUGUUGAACUAAUAAAAGCAAGGCUGUCUGAAAAGCCUAAUGACCCUACAUUAUGGUUUGUUGAUGAGCCUUUUCUAUGAUCCAUUUUAUAGUUACUUCUCAUUUCAGUUAAAUCCAUUGUUGAUGUCACUUAUUGCAAUCUAGGGAUGAUUGUUCAUUGGAUGUGAGGAUAUUGUCAGAAGAAAAUGAAACCUUUUAAUUUUAUCUUUUACUUGCUGUAGCCGACUUAAAAGGUCACUGUGCGUUCUUACUGAUUGCUUUUGGUCUUGCAUUUGAGUCAGUGGAUUUUAUACUCAUAUUCUGACAUGUAUUGUUAGCCUUCUGACGGUUCUGCACCUUGGUCCUAUAUUAUCUUCAGCAGUAUUAUCUAAAAGAUCAUUUUUUGCCGAAGAAUAUUUGCAUUCUAAACUAGAAAAGGAGGGGCCGCCCGGGCCCGGGGGGGGGGGGGGGGGUGUGUGUGUGUGAAGGAAGCAUCAGGAGGUUGUUUUCCACUUAUCCUCUUCCCUGCCUGCAUUUUAGAUGAUUCUGAUGCACCAGGUGCCGUGAAAUGGUUGAGAAAUACAUACCAUCAAGUGAAUUCUGAAAAUCAUAUCCUUUUUGAGAAUAUUUGGUGCUAGACAUUUGAAUAUGUGGCCACAAUUUAAACAAUAAAGAUUUUCUGCACUGAUUUCUUAUAAUGGAUAUAUGCAUGUAAUUAUAAUAUGAUAUCUUUUGAUUAUUGACCCAUUUGUUUAGAAAGAAGGGGAAAAAAAAAACAUGGUUGAAAGACAACUGUUACUUGACCUUAUCUUGGUCUGUUCACUGCCGUUUGUUUCCUAUAACUUCUGGUGAUAAUGUAGCCAGAAUGAUGAGUUGAAUUGUGGUUUACUGACUUGUGAUACAUUUUGUAGGUGUUCAUUUUUGUUUUCUAAAUUUGUUAUCUAAAGGAAUGACAAGUUGACAACUCAGCCUCUCUCUCUCUCUCUCUCUCUCUCUCUCUCUGUGUGUCUGUGUCAGGGAUCUGAUUUGUGGAAAGAAAGAGAUCGGUUUGAAAGGUUUUCAUAUGCAUCCUUGGAACUUUGUAAGGUUUACAUGGAAAUUUCUUCCUCUUCUGGUAGCCGUCAAGAACUCUUUGCUGCUGAGAUGCACCUGAAGAACGUACUUAAACAAGUAAAAUACCUUAUAAUUCGAUAUUUAAGACACUUACAGAUGGUAUUACAUUGACAGCAGUAAAACAAAGAAGCAACUGAAAGUUAUCUUCAUAUGAGAAUGAAAGCUUUUCAGCAGCAUAAGCCUUUCACUAUUCAAUUCCAAACACGUUCCUCAACAUGAUAACAAAUUCGUAGACCUUUUCUGGGUCUGGAAGGAUCCUGUAACAGUUUCUCUUUGCAUGCACUUGUUCAUCCAUGCUGAGAAUUUGGGGCACUCAUUCUCAACCUUAAAUCCCCCAAAUUCCUCAACCGCGUAAAACCAUCAAGUCAGUGGAAUGGCAAUCACAUCAACGAAUCCAAAGCUGUCCCCGCCAAAGAAAUCCUUCUCCCCUAAAGCUCCCUCAAGUUGCUUCAAAAUCUCUAUAAAUUCAUUCUUCGCCGGGGACCUCGCCCUUCGUUUUGCAUAUGUUGCAGACUGGAUCGAAUACCUGCCAAAAAAGUGGUGUCAUCUUUUAAGUUCGCAUUUAGAAAGAUACAAACAUUUACACUUGAGAAUUAUAGACUGACCUUCUUGUCAAUAAAAUCUGCCCAGAACCUUGCCUUAGCUCUCUCAGAAGCACAGGAUGGGAGAAGUGAUGGCGAAGGCCAAGUCUCGUCAAUUUAGUUGACUAUAAUAGUGGAUUAACACAAUGGUUCCCCAUCGUGCAGCAAAACUGGGACUUUCUUGUAGAUGGGGUUUGAUUUGAGCAACAGGUCACUCUUGCCCCCGAACAAGUUCUCAGCUCUGGCUUCAUAUCCAACUCCUUUCUCAGCCAAUGCAAUCUUUGCUCUCAAGCAAAAUGGGCUAACCCAACAGUCCAAAAGAACAACCUCUCCCUUUGACAUAUUCAACUAUCAAGGUUGGUAUUUAUAUAGGAGAAAAGAUGAAAUUCCCAAAGAUUGUGUCGCAAUCAAGGUUUGUUCGUUGGCACUUCGAUAAAGGAUGUGGCCUUGUUCUUAUCAUUUCUUAGUUUUUGAAGCUAAAUGUUUUACUUGGCUUUCAACAGGCACAAGAACAAGUUUGUCUUGUGUAAAUAAAAUAAAACCAUAAAAUUCCAUUAUUAGUGUAAAACCAAAAUAAUUAAAAUAAUAAAAGUGAGUUAGUCGUGCGUGUGGACCUCCUCUUUAUGAGUUUGUUAUCACACCAUAUUUGGUUUCUAUAAAUAAAAUAACUAAAACUCUCUUAUCUAAGUAAGAAUAUUGUUAUUUUGAAAUACCAACUCAAUCUCUAACAAAUCUUGAGAUAUAACUUAAGAUUCUUGAGCUUCCAAUAUAAAACAAGUAAGAUUAACAUAACUUUUUCACUUCCUUCCAUCAAAGAAGGGAAUAAGUUAUAUAAUUUAAUUUAUGUUUAAUUAAAUUAUUUUAAAUGGGUAAUAAUUAUAAAUUUUUCCACUUUAUUUAAUUAACUAGAUAAGACCAUAUUGUAAAUUCUUACAUUUAUCACUUUAAUCUCUUUCCUUUUUCAUUCCAACUCCGGUACAAACUAUUCCUUUUCAAAAAGUUGUACUCAAAUUGAUAAGUCUUGGAAGACCAAAACACUAUUUAAAAUUUAUUAUUUGCUUUAGUAGCUUUCAUGGGUGCAAGGUAAGGAACAAAACUCGGUGGAUUUUAUGACAAAAGCUUUAUCUUAUGUAGCACUUUUUUCGAUAUCUCGAACUUUACUCUUUAAGAAUGUUGUAUAAUAUUUCUACAAUAACAACAAACAAAUUAUAACCCUGAAAGAUCUAUAUACACCUCGAUCUCUAGCUAGUUCUCUACAAAAUAUGGCACUAAGUAACAAUGUAAUCGGAGCCAUCAACUUUGUUGCCGUACUUCUUUCAAUCCCAGUCAUCGGUGCCGGAAUCUGGCUUGCCACCGAGGCAGACAAUUCUUGUGUCAAGCUUCUACAAUGGCCAGUCAUUAUUUUGGGAAUCUUGAUUCUAGUCGUGGCUCUAGCAGGCUUUAUUGGAGGAUUUUGGCGCAUCCCUUGGCUCCUUAUACUUUAUCUCGUUGCCAUGCUCAUUCUUAUAAUAUUGCUGGCUUGUCUAGUUGUUUUCAUUUACAUGGUCACGAUUAAGGGCUCAGGUCACCUUGCACCCAGUAGAGCGUACUUGGAAUACCGCCUCGAUGAUUUUUCUGGAUGGCUACGUAGAAGAGUUCGAAGCCCUUACAAAUGGGAUCGGAUCAAAAGCUGUCUCAGCUCGACACAGAUGUGCCCUGAGUUGAACCAUGUAAAAAUGAGUUGCAAAUACUGUUUGGUUACUGAGAAACAGAGAGAAAAUUGAUGAAUAUUCCAGAUCUUAUUAUUUCAUUAAUUACAAAUGAGUAAAUCACAAGUCUUUAUACUUGCAUUUCAUUAGUAAAAGCUAUUAACGAAACUGAUCUGUAUUAACUAACUAAUACUAACUAACUAAUCACGCGAACUCUCAUUGCUGCAUAACAGAAUCAGCUGACUCAGCAUUGUUGACGUGGCAUUGCUGACGCACCUUAGCUUCUGACUUCUUCUCUCUUCUUAGCUCAGCACAAUGAGCUUUCUUCACAGCCCCUCUCAAACUCAAGGGGCAUAAAUGCACAUUGAGUUUGUUCCUCAGAUAAAUGAACUGAGAAGAGUUUAAGGGCUUAGUCAUUAUGUCUGCUAUCUGUUCUGUACUAGGAACAUAUAGAAUCUUAAGAUCUCCAGUUAGAACCUUAUCUCUGAUAAAAUGCAGAUCGAUUUCUAUGUGUUUUGUUCUUGAGUGAAACACUGGAUUAUGAGCAAGAUCUUUGGCACUUACAUUGUCACACCAUAUAACUGGUUUCUCCACACGACAUAGAUUAAUCUCAAGAAACAAAGAUUUUAUCCAUGUUAUCUCUGAAACAGCUGCUGCAAGUGCUCUGUAUUCACUUUCUGCAGAAGAUUUUGUAACUACAGAUUGCUUCUUUGAGGACCAUGAGAUUAAGUUGUUUCCUAGGUACACACAAUAUGCACCAGUGGAUCUUCUGUCAUCAAGAUCACUUCCCCAGUCUGCAUCUGUAAAUGCUGUAACCUUCAGCUCACCUUUCUUAACAAAUUUCAGCCCAUAGUCUUGUGUUUCCUUCAGAUAUCUAAGCACACGUUUGCAUGCCAUAAGAUGUUGAAGUGUUGGUGAAGAUACAUACUGACUUAGCUUAUGAACUGAAUAGGCAAUUUCAGGUCUUGUCAAAACUAAAUACUGAAGACCUCCUACAAUGCUUCUGUAAUGAGAUGGAUCUUCUAUGUAAUAACCCAUUUCCCCUUCUAUAUUCUUCUGCAAUCUGUAAUCUUUGCUGCUGCUCAUUGGUGUAUCUAUUCCUUUACACUCGAGCAUAUCAGCUUUAGCCAGCAAGUCUCUGAUAUACUUCCUUUGUGAUAGAUACAUACGGCCAAGAUCAUACAAAACUUCAAUUCCAAGAAAAUAAGAUAACUUUCCCAGAUCCUUUAAUGCAAAUGCAGAACUGAAUAGCUUGAUAAAAUCUUCCAGCUCAUCACAAUUUGAUCCUGUAAUCAAUAUGUCAUCCACAUAUAUCAGGAUUAAAAUAAUUGAUCUUUUAUUCUUUUUCAAGAACAAAGAUGAGUCAGACUUAGAAUUCUCAAAUCCCCAUUGCACAAGACUGUUUCUCAGCUUGUCAAAACAUGCUCGUGGAGCUUGUUUCAAACCAUAAAGUGCCUUGUGAAGCUUGCACACAAAAUCAGGUCUUUUGGAAUCAAUAAACCCUUCUGGUUGACUCAUAUACACCUCCUCAAUUAAAUCUCCAUUUAAGAAUGCAUUAUUCACAUCAACCUGUCUUAUUUGCCACUGAUUCAUUACUGCUAGACUCAGGACUAUUCUAACUGUUGCUGCUUUCACCACUGGACUGAAAGUCUCAAAGUAGUUCACUCCUUCUAUUUGCUGAAAUCCUUUAGCAACCAACCUUGCCUUAUAUUUUGCAACACUUCCAUCAGUAUUUGAUUUCACUCGAAAUACCCAUUUGUUGCCAACAAGUUUGUGAUGUUCUGUUCUUGGCACAAGUGUCCAGGUACCAUUUGACAUUAGUGCAUCAUAUUCAGCUUUCAUUACUUGAAACCAUCUCUCAUCAUUGAUAGCCUCCUGAACUGUAUCUGGUUCUUUAUGCAACAAUACUGCAGUAUAUACCUUUGGCUUAAAGAUACCUGCUUUCCCUCUAGUGAUCAUGGGGUGUUGGUUUAGUGAUGGUGAGGUUGUCAUUGUUUGAUUGAGAUGAGGGAUAUUGUUAUUGUGUUGGUUUUGUGAAUUUUCAUUUGAGGGCUGUUCUAAUGUUGUGUCAGGUAUAGAAGGUAACAUUAUAGGUGCAGAUGGAUUAUUUCUGUCUGUGUUUGAGGGUUGUUGAUCUGUUACCUGUGUUGAGACUACUGUUGAAGGAAAAAUGUUGCCACUGGAGUAUGCUUGAGAGAAAGAUUCAUUGCUGGUGACUGAAAAAUCUGUUAUGACAGGUAAUGUUGAUAACUGGAAAACUUGUAUAGGAGUAAUUGUGCAAUAUGUAUCAGACUUAGAUUUAUUUGAAUUAUGAAAGCUAGGAUCAGCUGCAAAUGGAUAAGAGUGUUCAUCAAAGACAACAUGCCUAGCUAUAUAUAUAUGUCCAGAGGGGUGAUAACACUUGUAGCCUUUAUGAGAUGGACUAUAACCAAGAAAAAUGCAUUUGGUUGUGUGAUAGUCAAACUUGUGCUUAUUGUAAUCUCUCAGAUAUGGAUAACAAGCACAUCCAAAGCAUUUCAGCAUUUUAUAAUCAGCCUUGUGUUUAUAAAGCUUUUCAUAUGGAGUAGACAUCUUAAGUGCAGAAGUAGGGAGUCUAUUAAUGUGAUAGACUGAGGCAUGAAAAGCAUCCCACCAGAAUUGAAAAGGGAGUUUGGCUUGAGCUAGAAGUGUCAGUCCUAAUUCUACAAUUUGUCUGUGUUUUCUUUCAACAAGUCCAUUCUGAUGAUGAGUGUAAGGGCAAGAGUGUCUAAAGAGAAUGCCACAUUCAUUUAGAAAGGCAGUAAAUGGUCUGUAUUCUCCCCCCCAGUCAGAUUGUAGAAUUUUGAUAGAAGUUUGAAAUUGUUUUUCAACUUGAAGUUUGAACAGCUUGAACACUUCUAGAGCUUCUGAUUUAAGUUUCAAAGGAUAAAUCCAGGUGUAUCUGGUAUGAUCAUCCACAAAGCUAAUGUAAUAUCUAAAGCCAUCUCUAGAAUAUGCUGGUGAGGGACCCCAUAGAUCAGUGUGAACAAGUUCUAGAGCUGAUGUGGAUUUGAUAUCAGUGAUUGGAAAAUGAAGUUUAUGAAAUUUUCCUAGUUGACAUGCUUCACAGAAAUGCUUUGUAGCUUGAUUAACAAUAUUUGUAGAGCACAAAUUGGGAUGCACAAGCUUAAGCAAAUGAAUUAGACUUUGAGUAUUAGGAUGACCAAAUCGUUUGUGGAGUAAAGACAUUUUAUUGAAUGAAUUAGUGCUACAAGUAUUCUUAUUUGACUGAAAACAUUUUCCAGAACAAGAACUAUUAACUGAAGUGCUGAAAUAACACUGAGAUAGCAUGGACACAGGCUUAUUUAUUGAGCUCUGAGAUAGAAAAGAGGUAAAUGUAGAUUGUGAUGAUGAACUCAGCUGCAAUUUGUAUAAACCUUUCUCAGCAAUACCCAGUAGCAGAAUUUUCCCUUUCAGUAUAUCCUUCACAAAGCAAACAGAACCAAGGAAUUCAACAGAUAAGUCAUUAUCAGUGGUCAGUCUAGAAACACUUAUUAAAUUCUUUGUAAUAGAUGGAACAAGCAGUAUAUCUUUAAGUGCAAUGCAUGUACUUGCAUAUUGUAUUUUAGAGCUUUGAAUUGUAAGAUUGGCAUUACCAACAUGUGUGAUUGACAAACCUUUACCAUCACCAAUGAUAAGCUUGUCAUUACCUCUAAACUCAUUGCUGACAUGCAUAUUUGCCAUACUAUUUGUUAGAUGAUGUGUAGCUCCACUGUCAAGGUACCAUCCUUCAUCUGUUGGUCCUUCAAAGUUAGCAGCAUAAGCAGCUCCAGCUCCACUCACAGGUGAGCUCAUUGAGUCAGAUAUGUAUGAAGAAUAUGGUGUAUUAUACACGUGAGGUAUCCCUGAAUAAUCAGCUGCAGCAGGCCAUGAAUCUUCAGUAGGUGCAUUAAAAUAUGUCAUAUAGGCUGAUCUCUGAUUUCUUCCUCUUUUCAUGUGUUGAGGUAUAUAAUUUUCUUCAAACCUAUGCCAACAUUCUACUGCUGUGUGUCCAGAUUUAAAACAGAUCUGACAAACAACAGUCUGUUCCUCAUUACCAUCAGAAUUCGACAAACCAGAAUUAACACUAUAUUGUCCUCUCAUGAAUUGUGCCUGCUUAUUAUUGUUUCCAAUCAUUUGACCUCUGCCAAGAUUAUUACCAAGAUUUCCAGAUCCAGAGGGAAAGCCUCUUGGAUGAGAAUUGAUAAACAUUCCUCUUCCAGUAUGAAAAUUGUUUCUUCCAAAUUGAUUUCCACCAUGAAAUCCUCCAUUAUAUCCACCUCUUCGAGCACUACCUCUUGUUUGAGCAUAAUAAGCAUUCAUCAUACCAUAGCCAUUAUUAUUAUGAGAAACAUUAGCAAGAUUUGCAUUGAACAUCUGUUUUUCAUUUAGACUCUGUUCUAAUCUUGUUUCAUGCGUGAGCAGCAAUGCAUAGGAAUCAUCAAAAUCUAGCUUACUAGCAGUAAUGAAAGUUGCUAAAUCUAGAUAGCCUGGUCCAAGACCAUUAAGGAUCUGUUGUAACAGAUCUUUGUCAGAAACUGGACUACCAGCACAGGCUAAUUUAUCUGCUAUUUGUUUCAUUUUCAAACAAUAAUCUUCUACAUUUAGUGAAUCUUUUCUCAAAACACUCAUCUCAUAUUUGAGUUGAAGAACUCUAGCUUCAGAUUUUGCACCAAACUUUUUCUCCAAUGUUUUCCACACAUCAUAUGCAGUAUUACAAGAAUGAACAUGACUGAGAAUACCUUCAGUGAUUGAGCUUAAUAGCCAGCUUAGUAAUGUCUGAUCCUGUGACCUCCAGAUUAUAUAUUCUGGAUUUUCAACUUGUUGUGUAACUCUUCCCAUUGUUUCAGCAUAGCUUCCUGAAGUAAGAAAUUGAGUAGGUGCUGCCUUUUCUCCAUUGAUGUAGCCUUCAAGUCUGUUUCCUCUUAUAGAAGCUAAUACUUGAUUUCGCCAGAGCAUAUAAUUGGAUCUAUCCAAUUUGAUUGGCGUAAUGAAUGAGAAGGUAGUUUGUAUUGAUUGAUUCAUGUUUGUUGUGUUUGGAUUUGUGUUUAAAUUGCUUGAGCUUACCAUAUUUCUGGCUCUGAUACCAUGUAAAAAUGAGUUGCAAAUACUGUUUGGUUACUGAGAAACAGAGAGAAAAUUGAUAAAUAUUCUAGAUCUUAUUAUUUCAUUAAUUACAAAUGAGUAAAUCACAAGUCUUUAUACUUGCAUUUCAUUAGUAAAAGCUAUUAACGAAACUGAUCUGUAUUAACUAACUAAUACUAACUAACUAAUCACGCGAACUCUCAUUGCUGCAUAACAGAAUCAGCUGACUCAGCAUUGUUGACGUGGCAUUGCUGACGCACCUUAGCUUCUGACUUCUUCUCUCUUCUCAGCUCAGCACAAUGAGCUUUCUUCACAAACCAGAGUUAUAGGAUGGCUCAAGAUUUCUUCAAUGCACAUAUUACCCCUUUACAGGUAAUUAUAAUUAAUUAAGUUCUCGAUUACCAUUAAUUUUAUUUUAUUUUUUUCCAUUAAUUUCUAGAAAUUAAGAUUUAUUAGAACUCUAAAGUUAAAUUCUGAUUAAAAUUUUAAUUUUUAACGUACACAUUCCUCUUUAUAAUUAUGACCGUACGUAAUUUUAUAGCAGAGGAUAAUUCCUACCCAUUAAUUAAGCUAACCCACACGCCCAUGGAACAAUGAAGAAGUAGCUAAUAAAGUAAAAACACUGUAUUAGAUUCGGAAAACCAAGUUUCAAAUCUUCUUUUCAAAAAUAUUCUUCGUCUUUAUCUUUAUUGCGUGCCUUUGUGCUUUUUUUUUUCUAUUUAUUUAUUUUUCUUGUUUACAGUCUGGAUGUUGUAAGCCUCCGACAGAGUGUGGUUACACAUUUGUAAACCCAACAUAUUGGAUAAGUCCAAUUAACAACGCGGCGGACAUGGAUUGCCUACAGUGGAGCAAUGACCAAAUGCAGCUUUGCUAUAAUUGUGAUUCAUGCAAAGCAGGAUUACUUGCUAAUCUGAAAAAGGAGUGGAGAAGAGUAGAUAUCAUAUUACUCGUUACUCUUGUUGCUUUGAUAUGGGUUUAUCUGAUUGGAUGUUGUGCUUUUAGGAACGCCAAAACUGAAGACCUCUUUCGCAAGUACAAGCAAGGCACUUACACGUAAUUGUUAGCUGCACGUAAACUCUCUUUGAUAGUAAUAUUAAUGUGUAAUUAGGGACUGGCUUGAAUUGUUAUUUUGAUAAUUUUAUGAAUUUUUUGUUUAAGAUCCGUCUUCUUGGUUACUUACAUUUGGUUAAAUUAUGUGUGGGGUUUGAUUUGAUGACGACAUAAUCUUGAGUUGUGCGUGCGUGAUUUGUGGAGGGCGCCGAAAGUAGGUGGCUUUUGAAUAUUUGCUUUUUAAGGAGAAGGGAUUUCGCACUUCCGCUCCCUGCUUGCUCGCAUAGGGCAUUAAUUGUAGCUUUGAAAAAAGUUCUGCUUCAGCAUGCGCAAAAGUCAAAGAAAUGGGACAUGUGCUCAUGCAUUAUGCAGCCAGCAUAUGGGUGAUAGCAGACGUAUUUAAUCUUUUAGUCUUUGUUGACAACUCAGCCUCUCUCUCUCUCUCUCUCUCUCUCUCUCUCUCUCUCGCUGUGUCUCUGCGUCAGGGAUCUGAUUUGUGGGAAGAUAGAUAUCGGUUUAAAAGGUUUUCAUAUGCAUCCUUGGAACUUUGUAAGGUUUACAUGGAAAUUUCUUCCUCUUCCAGUGGCCGUCGAGAACUCUUUGCUGCUGAGAUGCACCUGAAGAACGUCCUUAAACAAGUAAAACACCUUAUAAUUCGAUAUUUAAGACACUUACAGUUGGUUUAAAGAUUGCAUUUUCCGUUUCUGUUUUUGACUGGUUCAGGGUAAAACUUUUUCUCACUGUGUUAGAGUGCAUUUCUGUUAUUAUAUAGUACCUGUCAAAAUUUUCCAUUCCAAUUAGUUACAGAGUGAAUUCUGUAAGGUGUGGCGCCCCCUUGAAGGCCAGGAGAGCCGUGUUUAGGGCUUAUCACCCCUCCAAGGUGUAAUCCCUUGUAUCCCUGUAGCUUAUACCAGAGGUCCGGAGUACUGCAGACUUGUGGAGAUACGGGGCUAUGAGUUUCCAUCUUUCGGACAUCACAACACUUGUUCUGGAGAAAUUAUGGGUUUAUUUCAGAACAGAGGAAGGUUACUUCAUUAAGAGGAAUGAGAGAUUUACAAUACACUAGAUUUAGGCUCCAAGACUCGAUGCCUAGAUACAAACCAAGGGUUCCCUUUUAUAGGCACAAGGGAACCACUAUUACACACUGUAGUCAUUAUUGAUCCUUAUCUCUAAGGAAUCUAUUUUACAACUCACUCCUUACUUUAUGUCACACUCAUACUCUCAUCCUUAUCACAAAGGAUGGUACACAAUACAUACGAAUACAAAUACAUAUAUUAUUAUUAUUAGAGAUACAAAUACAUAUAUUAUUAUUAUUAAAUAUACAAAUACAUAUACGAAUACAAAGGAUGGUACACAAUACACUCUGAUAAUAAUAAUAUAUGUAUUUGUAUUCGUAUGUAUUGUGUAUCAUCCUUUGUGAUAAGGAUGAGAGUGUGAGUGUGACAUAAAGUAAGGAGUGAGUUGUAAAGUAGAUUCCUUAGAGAUAAGGAUCAAUAAUGACUACAGUGUGUAAUAGUGGUUCCCUUGUGCCUAUAAAAGGGAACCCUUGGUUUGUAUCUAGGCAUCGAGUCUUGGAGCUUAAAUCUAGUGUAUUGUAAAUCUCUCAUUCCUCUUAAUGAAGUAACCUUCCUCUGUUCUGAAAUAAACCCAUUUUGGUAUCAGAGCCAUAUUUCCCAAAAGGAAACCCCUGGGUGUGCAACAAUAUUAUGCUCUGUGGUUGCCGAAACACUUCGGAUCCUCCACAUCAGAAAGUUGUUGAAUACUGAUCUACCUGUCAAAAUUUUCCAUUCCAAUUAGUUACAGAGUGAAUUCUGUAAGGUGUGGCGCCCCCUUGAAGGCCAGGAGAGCCGUGUUUAGGGCUUAUCACCCCAAAGAAAACCCUUUGUUUUCUCUUAGCCAUGGAAAACUCAAACAGUAAUAGAUCUGGAAACCAAACAGUUUCUGACCAAGGAUCCACUUCGGCUAUCAGAGUUCUAACUGAUAGUUCACCCUCUAUAAACUUCCAUUACGAAACCCAAGAGGAUGAAAGCAGUGAGAGAGCGGUUCAGUCCUUUAGACUUGAUCCGUUAGAUCCCUAUAGAUACUACCAUAUCAAUUCUACUCUUAAUCAAUUAAGAGCCAUAAUUCCUAUUAGACAACCCAAGCUUAAAACCAUCUAUAAAUCCUCUGAGAUUACUGUCCAGUUCAUCUCCUCCAGUUCUAAAGAAACAUACCUUCCUAUAAUCUCUACCAAUGAGGUUACAAGGUAUAAGCUACAGGGAUACAAGGGAUUACACCUUGGAGCAAUCUAGAUAGGAAUACAACCAUUGUUCCUAGCUGGAAAAGAUAUCACAUGCUUCAUUGCCAUCCUUGACACUAGAUGGCAAACUUUUGAGAAAGCCUUGAUCACUGCUGUCGAAGCAGGACUCAACCAAGGUCAUGUUGUUCUCCAAGUUGAACCCAACUUCACCCUUGACAUACACAAGCCAUUUCUCACAGAUGCCAUUAAGGUAUUAAUUCAGGUCAAUGGUCUAACCAUAAAACCUGAUGAAUCUGCCUUGGCAAUUCACCACACCAUGACCUAUAAAGUCCAAACCCAUCUGUUCUCUAUGAGCAGCUCUGGCAGGCCCAUUACCAGAUUUCUUGCUGGUGAUGGCAGAGUCUUUCAACCUCGGACUUAUAGGCAAAAUCAGCUCAUUUUUCUACCUCAAUGGAUCAAUGAGUAUGAAAAAAACAGCAAGCCUCAACAAAUCCAUGAGGUUCCAAAGAUAAGCCGGUUACAAGAAGGAAGGGUAUCAGUCUCUUUUCCCACUGAGACUAAAGCCCUCUAUCCAUGUGAAAAAUGCCAGCUUGAAGGAAGGCAUCCCUCCUUGUGCACUCAUAUGCCAAGAAGAAUCACCUCCUGCAGAAUCAUGGGUCCAAUUAACAUGAUCACCACUCCGGAUCUUGAUAAUGAAUUCCUCAAGGAUAUUCCUGGAGGAAUGUAUGUUGCCAAAUGGGUAAUACAAAAAACCAACCCAACUGAAUUUGGCCCAAUUGAGAAGGCGAUCAACUGGUCAAACAUCAAUGCUGUUGAACAGAACCAAGCGUUGGGAGACAUCAUGGUUACCCAACAGCAAAUUCUUGCUGACUUAGCUGUUAUCAGAAAACAGCUAAAGAAAACCAGAAAACAGCAUAAGGUGACUACCCAGCAGUUUUCCCAAAUGCAUGACAGUGCCUCCAGAUCUAUCAACAUGAUCGUAAUGACCGGAGCUGCAGAUGAGGACGGAAUGAGAAGAACCAGAGAAAGCUAUCAAAGGACAAAAGUGUCCAGGCACUGGAAGAGCAAGCCCACAAAGCCAUGGCAUGUCUGGGAAGAAAAUGCAUCUGGCAACUGUCAAAAGGCAUUUUGGAGAAGCUAUGCUCCACCUCCACAAUAUCCAUGGCCCACUAAGGCUACAGGAUGGGAUGAGGAUAAAGAUACGGAUACUGAAACAAGUAUCUCCUCUGAUGACCAGAUCCCUCUUAUACCAAUUCUUAUGCAAAGAGCAAAUCCUCCAAAUCCAUUCUAUGUGGAUACUCGAGCUAGAUUUGCAGCAUCCACACCAACACAGGGUCAAACCUCUGAUCCUACAAGACAAGAGCAAACUCAACACCCAUCAGGAACAACCCAGUUCACUGCCCCAGAAUUCGCUAAUCCUGCUGCCCAACCAGAAGCAUCUGGAGUAGAAUCCACAAAUCAAGAAGACAGGGCACCACAUAUUGAUGAGGUAAAUCAGGGAGACGAAUGGGAAACCCGUGUCCAACUUGGGCAUUCUACGACGGGAAAAAUGUUCUGGAACAUCGAUAGAAUGAAGCCAAAAGAAAUAUUGGCUUACUUUGAAAAGAUGGUAGCUUGGUAUGAAGGAGAAUGCCAACGAACUCCCCAGUUGAGCAGAAGAUCGGCAGCAAUGAGACUUGUUGCAGGAUUCGUUGGAUCAUUGAGAAGAUGGUGGGGAAGAAAGCUCAGCAGAGAACAAAAGGAAUUCAUACUCAGCAGAGAAGACCCUUGUGGAAGCUUGGUAGAAAAUCUAUCCUUGGAUUUUCUCGGCCAACACACAAGAGAAGAAGAAGUAGCUGAAAAACAAUUUCUCCAGAACAAGUGUUGUGAUGUCCGAAAGAUGGAAGAGUACUACCUAGAGCAAGAAAGGUUGUACUACAUCUUUGACAAACAAACUGACACCAUCCACAGAACAUUCGUGCUAAACAUGCCAGGCCCAGUAGCGGAAAUGAUGGAGGCUAAAUUCAAAGCUGAUGCAAUUGUUGAUUUAGCACAGCUUAGCCUUGCUCAGCUCUAUCAGAUAUCUAUGGAGCUGAUCCAAAGUCAUUGCAGAUCUCAAGACUUAAGAAGGCACAUGAAGCAGAUUGAGAAAUCCUCUCUGCAAAAAUUCUGUAAUGAGGAACCAAACAAAUUUGGUUGCCACCAUACAGACAAAAUGUGCUCUUGCAAGAACAACAGGCAGAAAAGGCCAAAGAAACCCUGGAAGCCCUACAAAGGAAAGAAAUACCGUUUCAUCAAAAAACGAAAACAAAAGAAAGGCUCGGGGAGAUGUUUCAUUUGCGGAAAGAAAGGUCACUAUGCCAAACAGUGCAAAUCCAAGAAAAGACUUCCAGCAAAACUUCUCCAGAUGAUCCAGCAGGAAGAUUUUGAUGAUGACAUCUAUACCUGGUCAGAUAGCCCUACGGUGUUGUAUACACAAUGGAUAAAUAUCCUCUUUCAGACGACGAUGAUACAGAUUCUCUUUCUAGCACUGACAGUGAUUCUGAUGAUGAUCCUGUCAUGACCAUCCAUGAGCCUCUCCAAGCUAACCUGGCAAUGGCCCCUGCCUCUCUCUUCAGACCACAUAUAAAGGUUAUCCUCAACCCAUCUGAGGAUAAACAGGUAGCACUCACUGCUCUUAUUGACACUGGAGCAAUGUGCUCAUUCAUUCGAGAAGCUUGUGUUCCUUCCACCUUUUAUGUUCCUACUAAGGUCUCGUUUGGCUCCGCUAGUGGAAGUAACUUCUCCAGUAAAAAGAUUACCCGGCCUAUAGAAAUCCAGCCCUUUAUGAUAAGGCAUGGCUUCUUUGCCUUUGAUUAUUCAGGCGAAGAUAUCUUGCCAGGCACCGACUUUUUAAGUCUGAUUGCCCCUUUUGCCUUCUUUCCCGAUGGCUUCUCUUAUACCAUUCGGAAUCCUCACACGGGCACCACUAACACUUUCUGGGUACCCUGGGUUGAAAAACAAUCCAUUUUUGGGGAGGGUGGAAAACUACAAAAUUACACCAUCCAUAAAUAUGAACCCCAAAUUAAAGAACUCCUUGAAUGCUGUGCAGAAGUGCCAAACCAGUUUUGGGCUAGAGAACAACAUUUUGUGUCUCUACCAUACAAGGAUGGAUGGACCAUGCCUCACCAGACGGCCUCUCAUCCAGGCAUUCCUCAUGACGAAGAACUAUGCAAAACAGAGAUCCAGGCUCUUAUGGAUCUAGAGCUCAUCAGGCCCUCUAAGUCUCAUUGGGCUAGCCCAGCAUUUUAUGUCAACAAGCAUUCAGAACAGAUACGUGGAAAAAAGCGAUUGGUAAUUCACUACAGAAAACUGAAUGAUUGCUUGCAGGACAUAAGAUACCCCAUUCCACGGAGGACACACAUUUUAAAACGCAUUGCUGGUGCAAAAGUGUUUUCAAAGUUUGACAUGAAGUCAGGCUUUUGGCAAAUUGGGAUUAAAGAAGAAGACAGACACAAGACAGCAUUUGUGGUCCCCCACGGGCAUUAUGAAUGGAAUGUGAUGCCUUUUGGCCUAAAGAAUACACCGUCAGAAUUCCAAAACAGAAUGGAUGAGGUGUACAAAUCUAUCUCAGGAUUUUGCCUUAUCUACAUUGACGAUGCUCUUAUCUUCAGCAACAGUGAAGAAGAACAUGCUGAACACCUGUCCCAAUUCAAGGCACUAACCUAUAAACAUGGGUUAGCUUUGUCAGAAUCCAAAAUGAAGAUAGGCCUUGAUGAGGUGGACUUUCUAGGAUUACACAUCAAGCAGAGAUUCAUCAUUCCUCAGCCACAUAUAGCUGAAAAAAUAUCCCAAUUCCCAGACCAGCUGUCAACCAGAAAGCAGAUCCACCAGUUCCUCGGGAUAAUCAACUAUGCAGCAGACCAUGUGCAGGAUCUGUCAAAGAUGACGAGAGUCAGAUAUCAAAGCACUUAAAGAAGAGUGCCCCACAAUGGUCGGAAGACGCAACAAAAGCAGUGACAGACUUAAAGCAAAAGUGCCAGUCACUUCCACCAUUAAAGAUACCUGACAAGGGACAGCUCAUCCUCCAGACAGAUGCAAGUGACCAUUAUUGGGGAGCACUGUUGAUAGAGGAAUCCGAGGGAAACAGAAAAGUGUGUGGCUAUAAAUCAGGCCAGUUCAACGAUGCUCAAAGCCACUACCCCUCCUCCAAAAAAGAAGUCUUAGCAGUUGUCAAAGGGAUCAAAAACUUUCAAUUCUUUCUUUCACUAACUCCCUUUGUGAUUGAAACAGACUACAAAUACCUACAGGGAUUACUCAGGAGAAAAGAAGGAGAAAUACCAGAUCCACAGCUUGCAAGGUGGUCUGAGUCUCUCUCGAGAUUCAAGUUUGAAGUAAAGCACAUCAAAGGAGAAUCCAACACUGUUGCGGAUUUCCUUUCCAGACCGAUCACCAUGAUCAAAAGAAGAAGCCUUCCAAAAAGAUGGGACGAAGGCAGUUCUAGUGCUCACGCAGCCCGAGCACACUUUCUCAAAGAUCUUAACAUCUUCAUUGCUUGGCUUCCUUCGGAAGUUCAAGAUGACAUCUUUGAGAAAGUCAUCUGCCACAAAAGAGAUCCAGAAGAUCAAGCUCUGACAUGGCGGGUAUGGCAGCUCAUGGCCAUGCAGGAACACAGACCUGCCCAUAACAAACAAUGUCAAAGAGCUUUUGAUCCACAUCCAAAUCCUGACCAGAUGCAUGAAACGGUCUUCAAGGUCGGUUGCACCUUCCACUAUGUAAUAGACGAGAACUCCAACUGGGGUCACUAUGUUAUCUGCGAUAUAACCCCUCAAGCCUAUUACAUAACUUGGUACUGGCCCAACAUUUACCCAGUGGCAAUCCUGUUUGAACCACAUCUGAUCCAUACCAGCAGGAGAUAUGGGAAGGGAAGAUGGUUCGACCGAAUGUUCGCUCCUAUCUUCGAAGACAUCCUAACACUCCGGCUAAUCAACGGAUAUCACAUCACUCACUCUACUAUAGUGAUUGUGAAACUCACAGAUAUCUGGGGAAGAUACAAGCAGCCUCUUGUGCAGGUGGUCCAGCAUGACCUCAACCAUGAAGAAAUUGAUUCCAUGUGGACAGGCUGUUGGAAUGCUAGAAAAGCUUUAGCUGAGGUAUACGGAACUAUUCCAAUGUAUAAUACUCAUAGCCCCGUAUCUUCACAAGUCUGCAGUACUCCGGACCUCUACUACAGAGAGGAGAUCAGGAAUCUCAAGCUUCAUGGAGAAGAAGAUGAAGCAGCAGACUUGCAGCAGUGGUAUAAUGAUUACCUCACUCGCCAUGGCAGGCCAAAAGAAGUCACUUAUCUGGACACUCCAGAUAUUGAAAGAUGGAGGAACGAGCUUGAAGAAAUGGCCCAUUGGCUAGACCUCCAAGAUUGGCCCCAACCUGAGUUAGACCCCCAGCCGGAUAACAUUGAAGAUCCCAUAUGGCCAAAUAUGGGAGAAGAUAUGGAUGCAGCAUCCGAAGAACGAUGGAACCACAGGUCAGGACGUAGCACACCAACAAGUGGCAACUCUGGACUAUAGCGGAAGCUUAGUGGACCCUACAGUGGAAGCAAUGGUGAUAAUAAUAUAUGUAUUUGCAUUCGUAUGUAUUGUGUACCAUCCUUUGUGAUAAGGAUGAGAGUGUGAGUGUGACAUAAAGUAAGGAGUGAGUUGUAAAGUAGAUUCCUUAGAGAUAAGGAUCAAUAAUGACUACAGUGUGUAAUAGUGGUUCCCUUGUGCCUAUAAAAGGGAACCCUUGGUUUGUAUCUAGGCAUCGAGUCUUGGAGCCUAAAUCUAGUGUAUUGUAAAUCUCUCAUUCCUCUUAAUGAAGUAACCUUCCUCUGUUCUGAAAUAAACCCAUUUCAUGGUUAGACCAUUGACCUGAAUUAAUACCUUAAUGGCAUCUGUGAGAGAUGGCUUGUGUAUGUCAAGGGUGAAGUUGGGUUCAACUUGGAGAACAACAUGACCUUGGUUGAGUCCUGCUUCGACAGCAAUGAGAAGAAAAUGCACUUUUUGGAAUCUCAGGCUGAAGGAUUUUUGGUGCUUUAACUAAUCUCAUUUGACAAUGUAAAUAUAUGGCUUCAAUUUCUUUAAAUGUAAUAGCAAGUGUUGUUUUCGACCUCUGUUCUUUUAUGCAUUGCUUACAUGCCGUGAUUUCAUUAACCUAAAUUUAAGAACUGUUUGAGGGAAAUACAUCGAGGAGACCAGACGUGAUGAGCAGGUGUUUGGUGGUGGAGUUCUGCGAGCAGGAAUAUUCUCCUCGUCCACGAAUAUGCCAUUCGCGAGACCGAAUUCAUGUUAGAGGCAUAAGGUCAUUCCUGCUAAGGGUCGAGGCGAGGAGACCCGGUCAACGGCAGUUGGCAAGACGUGCCUUCCUAUCCGAGAAUCAAGGCACGAGGUCCAUCUCCAUUUGCCCACAAUGACGACAAUGGGGCAUCCACAUCCGAGGGUGGGGAGAAUAACGGGCGUAAACUGCGGAAGAUCGGGACUCAGAGGAAGCCUAUAAAAAGGUAGCCAACAAAGGUAAAAGGGUUAGAUUUUUUGCUAUUUGAACUAAGAAAAUAGAGAACUCGAAGGUCUGAGAUUAGUGAAAAGCCAUAAGAUCCGUGGCAAGCAUUCCCAGAACCUUCAUAUCUGACUUGAGCGUCGGAGGGUUUACGCCGGGAAAACAACCGGCGUGCUCUGACCUGUUUCUGUGGACGCAAGGAUACUUAGAGAAGAAAGCGUACGAGGAGAGAUCCUGAUCGAGGUGAGGUUGAUCGAGCAGACAUCCUGGUCGUUGGAAGGUGUAACCAGAAUCUCGCAUCAACAAGAACAAUUUCAUAUAAUUUUUUUUCUGCUUUUCUUUUAUCAUUUAAAAACAAUACUACGCACACACACACGCAUAUAUUUCAGAAAGCAUUUAAACAAAGCAACCGAACGUUGCUGGUUUCUAUUAUUACAUCGACAACAAUAAAGCAAAGAAGCAACUGAAAGUUAUCUUCAUAUGAGAAUGAAAGCUUUUCAGCAGCAUAAACCUUUCACUAUUCAAUUCCAAACAUGUUCCUCAACAUGAUAACAAAUUCGUAGACCUUUUCUAGGUCUAGAAGGAUCCUGGCAACAGUAUCUCUUUGCAUGCACUUGUUCAUCCAUGCUGAGAAUUUGGGGCACUCAUUCUCAAGCUUAAAUCCCCCAAAUUUCUCAACCGCGUAAAACCAACAAGUCAGUGGAAUGGAAAUGACAUCAACGAAUCCAAAGCUAUCCCCGCCAAAGAAAUCCUUCUCCCCUAAAGCGCCCUCAAGUUGCUUCAAAAUCUCUAUAAAUUCAUUCUUCGCGGUCUCUGGGACCUCGCCCUUGCUUUUCCAUAUGUUGCAUACUGCAUCGAAUACCUGCCAAAAAAGUGGUGUCAUCUUUUAAGUUCACAUUUAGAAAGAUACAAACAUUUACACUUGAGAAUUAUAGACUGACCUUCUUGUCAAUAAAAUCUUGCCUUAGCUCUCUCAUAAGCACAGGAUGGGAGAAGUGGUGGCGAAGGCCAAGUCUCGUCAAUGUAGUUAACUAUAAUAGUGGAUUCACACAAUGGUUUCCCAUCGUGCAGCAAAACUGGGACUUUCUUGUAGAUGGGUUUGAUUUGAGCAACAGGUCACUCUUGCCCCCAAACAAGUUCUCAGCUCUGGCUUCAUAUUCAACUCCUUUCUCAGCCAAUGCAAUCUUUGCUCUCAAGCAAAAUGGGCUAGCCCAACAAUCCAAAAGAACAACCUCUCCCUUCGACAUAUUCACUUUCUUUGUUCUUGUUUCUUUUACUUGGUUGAUAGUAAUUAAACCUUGAGUAUCAAGGUUGGCAUUUAUAAAGGAUAAAAGAUGAAAUUCCCAAAGUUUGUGUCGCAAUCAACGUUUGUUCGUUGGCACUUCCUUAAAGGAUGUGGCAUUAUUCUUAUCAUUUCUUAGUUUUUGAAGCUAACUGUUUUACUUGGCUUUCAACAUGCACAAGAACAAGUUUGUCUUGUGCAUACGGAGUUUACUAUGGACAAGCCGAAUUGUAAGUAACCAUUUACACUAAUCAAUCGGUAUUGUCCAAUGAAAAUAAGUAAUGUAAACUUAUCAAAAAAAAAAGUAAUGUAAAAAGUGUCUAGGAUUUUGCCUAAUAUUUCUUAAAAUAGGCUAAUUAAGCCCAAUUCUGGUGCUAGAUUGGUUCAACUUUGAAUCAAACUUGGAAACAUUUUGCUUUAGAUUAUUAUUAUUAAUUUAGAAGAGUCAAAAAGCUAAGAGUAUCGUUGGUAAAGCUCAAACAUGUGUAAUAUCACAUAUUACUUCUUUUUUUUUUUUAUACAAGUAAUAUCACAUAUUACUAGUGAGUGAGUUUCAUAAACUUUCCUAUUGAAAAAGACACAUUUUGGGUUGUAAAUCCUAACACAAUAUUUAUUCAGUUGUUGAGCCUGAAAUAUUACAGAUAUAUCAAAUAUUAUUUGAUGUGGGCGCACAACCCUGCGUCUUCUUAAUUAGGACAACCAAUGAAACCCUGCGUCUUCUUACAUAACUUGUAUGUACACAUUGGCGGGAUAUCCCAAUUAUGUACUCGUUUGUCUUCAUGUGUUUUAAAAAAAUCUAUUGUAAUGGAUAUAUUGUAAAUUUAUCUAAUUGCUUGUUAUAAUGCUUCUAUUGCGGUGUUAUUCGAGCUGUCAUUUUCAGUUUUAUUUUGUUUUUUCUUUAAACAUAGUUAAUUUGAAAUCCAUUACACUUGAAUCAUCAAAUAAGUGAUUCUCGAACAUAAUUGCUGUUGUUACUCGAAUAAGAAAAGAAAACAAAGUAUAGCUAAGAUAAAAGCAAAUGGAAAUGAGAGCAACGUGAUUUUGCAAAGAGAACUUCACACUAUCAUAAAACCAAAAACAUUAAAAUUUAAAACUUAAAUAACAACACACCAAAGCCAAAUAACGACCCACUAGAAUCAUGGUCCAAAGAUUGUACCAUGAUCACAACAUGAACUACAAAAAAAUAACCAACACCUGAAAAGUAGGAACAGUUUGAAACUUUCAACUAAAGUGGGAAAGACCAGGAUGGCACUGCAUGCCCAGCCCACCAACAUUAAAUGCUUUUUUCCCUUAUAAUUUAUCAGUCACAUAAUUUAGAGUGAAGACUUUAAUGCUGUGUUUACUUGCUGGAGUGGGAGUGAGGAGUGUGGAUUCCUCCCACUCCAGCGUUUACUUUCUCUGAAUGGGAAGGGAGUGGGAAUUCCACUCCGUGGGCCCCACCCAUUUUUGGAGUGGGGAGUGGGAGUGGGACUCCCAUAUUCCCACUCCCACCUCUCCCUUUUUUACCCUUUUAUUUUUUUAAUUUAAUUUAAUUUAAUAUUUUAUAAUUAAUAAAAUAAAAUAAAUAUUAUUAUAUUUAUUUGAAUAAUAAUAUUAUAUUUAACUAAAUAAUAAUUUGCAUUGAUUCUAAGUUAAAAUUAUUUUAAAAUAAUAUUAUUAUAUUAAUAGAGAAUUAAUAAAUAUAAUAUUAUUAUAUUUAUUUUAAAAAUAAUAGUACUAUAUUUAUUUAAUAUUAAUAAAUAGUUUAUUCUAAGAAAAUAUUAAUUUUGUACUAAAUAAUAUUAUAUUAUUAUUUUAUAUAAUAAUAAAUUUAAUAUAAUUAUAUUAAAUAAAAUAAGGUUUCAUUUUGUAUUAAAAUUAAUAAUUUAUUGUUGAUAAUUAAGAAUAUUAAUAAUUAUAAUAAAUUUACAAAUAUAAUAAAAUAAAUAUUAUUCAUUAAAUAUAUUUUUUAUUAGUUUUGUAAUUAAAAAUUAUAAUUCUUUAAAUAAGAAUAAAAUUGUAAUUUGAAACUAUUUACUCCCAAUCCAAGACAAAGUAAACACAUAAAUUGGAUUUUGAUCUCUAUUCCAUGCUUCCAUUCCAGUGUAAGUAAACAACCUACUCUCACUCCCACUCCACACUCUCAAUCCUAGGAUUUCCACUCCUCAGGAUUCCCAAUCCAAUCCAAAAAGUAAACGCUACCUAAAAGCAAAUAAAUGAAUUGGCUGAAUCUAGCUAGGAUGCCAGGAUGGGCACGGAUCCACAGAUAACAAGUAACAGUCUUUAAAUCUUCUGUUGUAAGUUCUUACGCCCCUUUUUUUUUAUACGACGAACCCCCGAUUCUACCCUCCAAAAUCAACAAUAGAGAAUUUAGUCUUAGCCUCUCAAGAUGCACUCAAACCUAAGGAUGGCAAUGGAUCAGAUCUGACCCAAGAUCCAUGUGAUCCAAAUCCAAUUGGAUCGAAUUUGGGUCGGAUUAAAAUAGAUUUGGAUCGGAUUUGGAUAUCGAUGCGUGGAUCUAAGGCGGAUCUGGAGCAAAUUCAGAUUUAUCUUAAUAUCUAUAUCCAAAUCCAUAUCCACUCACCAUUUAAUGUAAUUUUAUUUUAAAAAAUUCUUAACAAUUAUGUAAUUAUAAAUGAUGAUAAAAUUUAUUCAUUAGCAUGUAUUUAAGAAUCUUAAAACUUAAAGGUACUUAAUUGAUAAUAAGAUAAAAAUUUAUCAAGUGUAAAAUAAAAUUAGGAUAGUCUGCCCUAAUUUUUUUAAGUUUUUCACUCUACAAUUUAGUCUCUUUUUUCCUCUUUAGUCUACUCUCGCUUCUCCACUUCAUUUGAAUGCUUGGAUCAGUUCUUUAAUUGUUAGGAAAAUCCAUAGACUUGAGUUUAUUUUUCUAUCAUUUUCUCAUAAUCUUAUUUAUUUUGUAUAAUCACUAAUCAAUGGUGGCUAUCAACUAUAAAAUAAUUAUGUUAAUCAUAUAUUUAGUUAAAUAUGAUCAUAAUAAAAAUAAUAAAGCACUGAAUAUAAUAAAUCAUUUUUAACUUAUAUGUUAUUAUUUAAUGAUAUAGGAAUGAUGAUGGUGUGCAGUGGAUAUCAAGAUAGUAAAUGAGACAUUAGAAUAUUAUAAUGAUCUUAUUCAUGCAAUUACUUUUUAUCGAUAUUUUAUUAUCUUUUUUAUUUGUUUAUUUUGGUGUAAAAGCAGAAGCUACAAUACUUAUUAGAUUUUUUGUACAAAUUAUAUAAUUUAAUUGUUACCAAUGCAUUUUAGUCUUAAAUUUUUUUUCUAAAAAAAAUUGAUCUCUUAUUAUUGAGAUUUAGAAUUCAUGAUGGAUCUAGAGCAUAUUUAGAUUGUAAUUUUUCAAUUUGGAUUUGGAGCAGAUAUAGAUCUUUAUUUUUGUUUCGAAUCUAGAUAUGGAGCGAAAAUAUAGAUCCAUAACGGAUCUGGAGCAGAUACAGAUCUUAAUUUUUAUUACGGAUCUGGAUAUGGAGCAAUGUAGAUCCAAUCCAUAUCUGCUCCAUUGCCAUCCCUACUCAAACCUUGAGUAUGGUUUUUACUUACGUAUUAUCGAUUAUGAUUUUAACUAAUCUCUCUUGUCAACGAACUUUUGGUUGAUUAUGGACGCCUUUUUUUUUUUAAUCUAAACAAUAUAAGAUUUCGUACAAAUUGAAUUUGUAUAGACCUCAUCAUUUGGAACUUGUGUUGUAUCCAAAAAUAUCACCCAACCCAAAGAAAAUAAGUUCAAUUCUAUAACUCAUUCAUUUUUCUUAUAGCCCAAUGGAUUGAGAGAAUAGGCGUCAGAGGAAACUUUAUUUCAAUAUAUAAAUAUAGGCUUGCAUACAAUGCAAAAUCAUAUAUUCGAACCAAUAGGCGAAGCAUUGUCCCUCGUUGAUCCACAUGAGCCAACUAGUCAAAGUGGAUCCACAUGAGCCACUUUACAGACUGGGCAUGCAUUGCAACUGUUCAUUUUUGCUUCUGCCAAUAAAGAGUUGAUAGUAACCAAAGAUUGUAUUCUUUAUUGUCAUUUGAGAGUAACCAAUUACUUAGGCAGUCACGUAAGUUGCUGGUUGGCCUCGCACAUUUUUGACCAGCUUGUUUCUGAAGGAAACCAGCUGAGCUGCAACCUCUUCCAUGCUCAUUCGUUCUCUCGGCAACUCUGAAGAGCAAGUGACUCCGAUUGCCAGUACUGAAACCAAGCACUCUUUAACACUAAAACUUCUGGUCCAUUGUUUGUGAGCAUUGGCCUUGCUUGUCUCCCCUUCUUCUCUUUCUACAAGAAGCACUGGAUCAACAAUUUCAGCGAGUCUUUCAGGAAGAGCUUCCUUGACAAAAUUAUGUAGGGUUAGAUUGCCUGUAAACAUCUCAUUCGUCGGCCCCUUUCCUGUAAACAUUUCCAGCAAGAGUAUUCCAAAACUGUACACAUCUCCACUUGUUGAGACUUCGCUCCCCAUUCCGUACUCUGCAAUUCGAAAACUAAAAUUGUUGGUUCAACUAGUAAAAUCUCUAAGGAUUGAAAGACAAGUUAAUUAAAUUAUUGUAUUUACCUGGUGCAGCAUAACCAACGGUUCCUUUUACUCCAACAGAGCUUGAUUGAUUAGAUGACAAGUUAUUGGUGGCUUCCGGAAGGAAUUUUGCUAAUCCAAAAUCACCUACAUGGGCAGUCAAUUCACCAUCCAGAAGAACAUUGCUUGGCUUGAGAUCACAAUGGACUAUUGGAGUUUCGCAAUAAUGAUGAAGAUAAUCCAAUGCGGAAGCAACAUCAACGGCAAUAUUCAGUCUUUGCAGGAGAUUUAAGUUCCUUGGUGCCUCAGCGUUCGGAUGCAACCAUUCCUCCAGGCUCCCGUUGACCAUGAACUCAUAAACUAAAGCCUCGAAAUCAUUUCCUUGGAAGUCAACACUUGCACAGGAAGUUAUUAUUUUGACAAGAUUCCGAUGCCUAAUACUCCUCAAGGCUUGACACUCCGCUAUGAAACUCUUUGAAGCUCCACGAUGCUGAAGAUUAAGUACCUUAACUGCCACCAGCGUUUCAUGAUCAUCGUGACUGAGGAUUCCUUUAUAGACCGAACCAAAGCUACCGGCACCAAUCAAGUUUUCCAAAGAGAACCCAUCAGUUGCUUUGAACAGAUUCUCAUAGGACACUCGUAAAACCGAAGCCAAGAAUGCUGAUGGAGUGGCCGGCUCCCUUUUUGAUUUGCUCCGCCAGGAAGUAAUUAUAAAACACGACAUCCCUGUCACUAACAAAAUUACUGUAACUACAGGAAUCAUCAGUUUCAGGGAACGGGAACGUGACUGCUUGGAUUCUUUGAUGGAACAAGUAGAUAAAUGCAACUCAGAUAUGCCACCACAGAGGUUAUCAUUUCCAUCAAGAGAUAUAGCACUUGAAUUGCUGAAGACUCCUUUUACUGGUACUUCACCCUCAAAAUGAUUAAAAGACAGAUUUAAAUUCUGCAAAAAGGGAAAGUUUUCCAAAUAUUUUGGAAUCCGGCCGGACAAAUUGUUCCGCGAAAGAUCAAGAUUCUCAAUGCCUCUCAAAGAACUGAAUGACGAAGGUAUAUUCCCUUGAAAGAAAUUACCAUUCAUGAUGAGUUGCACCAACAAAAUGCAACUUCCUAAACUACUUGGAAUUUCACCAGACAAUUUGUUCUCAGAUAUAUCUAUAAAACCCAGAUUUUUCAAGAUACCAAAAUUUGAGGGCAUAGGACCAUUCAACUGGUUUUGAGAUAGAUCAAGAUAGAUUGACAAGGAAGAGAGGCCAAUUACUUCAGUGGGUAUGGUACCACUGAGGUUGUUAUUAGAAAGAUUUAAUGAUAUUAAGUUUUGGCAUUUCCCCAGACUUGAUGGAAUGCUUCCCUCUAACAUGUUUUCCUCAAAAUUUAGUGUAGUUAACAAUGUCAAAUUUCCUAUAGAAGAUGGAAUUUCCCCCCAAAACUUGUUCCCCUUCAGGCCCAACCUCUGCAGCUUUUGAAGAUCUCCUAUACUUUCCGGAAUUCGGCCUGUGAAUUUGUUGCCCCCCAGAUGUAAAAGCUCCAAGUUAACAAGAUUUCUUAAUCCACUUGGGAUAUUUCCGAACAACUGAUUGUUUCCAACUGAUAAUAUUGCAAGUCGGUUUGACAAGUUCCCUACUGUUUCAGGUAACAUUCCACCAAAAUUGUUAUCACUAAUUUGCAGUAGCUCUAGUCUAGAAGCGUUAACCAAAGAAUUGACAAAUUCCAAGUUAUCUUUUUCCCCAUAAUUUCCUAAGUGAUUCUGAGAAAUACUAACCCAUUGGAGUUUAUGUAAAUUUUCCAAACUAGGCACCCUUCCACUGAAUCCAUUCUUUGCGAUUGUAAGUCUCAUUAGAUUUGAGGCAUUGGAUAUUGAAGCCGGAAUAGGUCCGGUAAACUGAUUACCACCAACGUUUAGUACUUCAAGUUUAGGAAGAGUGAAGCCUAAGUCUGAUGGAAGGCUUCCUUGAAGUUGGUUAAAAGGAAAAUAAAAACCACUAAGCCAAGACAAGUUGUAGAUUGAAAAGGGGAUUUCACCUGAUAGCUUAUUUGCUCCAAACGAUAUAUAACGCAUCAUCUUAAGCUCGCUCAGGGUUUCAGGAAUUUGUCCCACAAAUUGAUUUGCAGCUGCUGAGAGGACCUGGAGUGAUGACAAAUUGCCGAAGGAAGGUGGGAUUUCUCCUGACAAAUUGUUGGAGUGUAUUACGAGAAUCCGGAGCUUUGGUAAGGAGCCCAGUUUCCCUGGAACUUUCCCCACUAGCUCAUUGAAGUCUAACCAGAGGGAUUCAAGGUUAACGCAAUGCGAUAUGUUGUCAGGAAUUUGACCUCCGAAUGUAUUGUUGUCCAGCCUUAAAAUUCGUAACCUGAACAGAUAUCCAAUCGCUUGAGGGAUUUCGUUGCGGAGGCUAUUGUUUUUUAGAUCUAACACUCUGAGAAAACUCAAAUUACCAAUGUGAGGCGAAAGAGACCCCUGCAAGAGUAAAGAUGGAAGACGUAAUCCAGUCACCCUUUGGUGCCGUCGACUGCAAGUGACACCUUUCCAUUGACAAAAGUGCCUGGAAUAGUUCCAUGAACUCAAAACCUCAAGAGGGUCAUGAGUAACUUUGGCCUUGAAUUCAAGCAAUGCAAGUUGAUCAGUUUCAUUGCUUUUGAGCAUAUAAUCGGUUGACUGCAAGCUGAAGCUGACGCAACAGAAAAUAAAGAAACAAAUGCUUACAAUGAUUGAACUCAUCAUGUUUACAAAAUCCAUUUAACUGCCGAAAGGAAAUUAAAAUGAUAAAACUUUUAUAGAGGUUGGUAAGAUAAACUAUGUUUGUAUAUUUUUUGCAAUGAUUUAUGGACUCUGUACUUGAUGCUCAAAUGUGAACCGGCUGGCACCGUGACAGUGAAACUAAUGCUUUUUAUUUUUCUAAUAAUAUUAAUUAUCAAAUUUAUUACUAUUGUAAGAAUAAUAUAAUACAGCUUUUCCUUUAAGGAAGACCCGCCACACUAACUUUUGACGCUCUAUCAGUUUCCAGUAUUUUGUCAUUUUGUAUUGUAGUGCUUAAUCCACAAUGAAUAUAAAACAAUUUAAUCAACAUUAUUAGAAAAAGAAAAAAAGUAGGAGAAGAAAGUUAAGUAUGAUGGAUGGAGGGUCAGAUUACUGUUAAAUGACUUAAAGGUUUAAAGCACCACAGGAAUCAACGUUUCACAACGCUUUUUUCCCUUUCUGAAAUAUUCGGUGCAUUAGUUGACUAGAAUUAUAAUAUAUCAAACAACUACAAGAAAUAUUUUAAUUUAUCAUUUUACUAUUAUAUAUUUACAUAACUUAUCAUUUUACUAUAUUUCCGUAGUACCAUUAGUUGACUAGAAAAAUGUUAAUUUUACUUUUGAAAAAAAACACAAAUGGAUAUAUUAAAUAUUUUUAGCUACUUUUUAUUUUGAAUUUAUAAUGUUGUAAUACUUUGUGUUAUUAUUACUUUUUAUUUUGCAAAAACAAAUUAUAUAAAGAGAAAAAUUAAUAUUUUAUCAAUUAACUAAUUGAUCUAUAUUAAUUGAAAUAUAAUAAAUUAAUAUUUUAUCAAUUAACUAAUUGAUCUAUAUUAAUUGAAAUAUAAUAAAAUAAUAUUUUAUUUUUAAAUAUAAUAAAAUAAUUUUCCCAUGAAAGAAAAUGAUGAGUUGUUUCAACGUAAUGCAGCUGCCUAGACUACAUGGAAUUUCACCAGGCAAUGACAAUUUAUUCUCAGAUAAAUCUAACGCCACAACAUUUAUCUAGUCACCCAAAUUUGCAGGCGUUCGUUUUGAGACUUGUCAAAACUUUUUCCAAAAAUUCGGGAUUCAGGUCAUAUCAGGCCGGUUAUGUUUUGAAAAACUUGUAAAUUAUCAGUGAUCAAACUUCAAAACUUUGCAAAUAGGUCAAAAUACGGAAAAAAACUUGAUAUAUUAUUGAAUACUCAUUUUGUUUUGCAUUAAUAUAACGCUAUGGGUGAUAUCUAGUUCUGUUGGUAAAAUUUCUUGGGUUGAAAACAAGAAAACUAGCAUUUCAAACUCACUCAUAUGGAUGGGAAAGAAAUUUAGUUAUUAUUGGAUUAAAAAAUAAUAAUGAGAAUUAGAAAAAAAUUAUAAGGCUUCAACGAGAUUUGCUAAUCAUGUAUAGAUUAAUAUGGAGAUUAAGAACAUCACCUAAGCUAAUUAUUGAACUUGAAAGUUUAGGAGAAAAAAUUAUAUGGGUUUGGCCAUCAAUUUAGCAUUCGGAACUUAUUGUUUAGGAAGCUACGGCGGGUUUCGUAGUGGGACUUAUCCUCUUUAAUGCAUAUGGUGAUUUUAAACCAACAUAUAUAUAAUCCUAUUAUAAAACUCAUCAAACCUUCUAAAAUAACAUGUUGAGAUAGUGUGCUAGAUCCAUAUAAAUAUUUCUCCAACUUCUUAGCUUGAAGCGAUAUUCAUUUCCAUUGAUAGUUUAAUGGGCAAAGCCUUUUGAAUUCUCCAUGUUAUCAAGUUAACUUUUGCUGGAAAAUGCAAUGCGGAUAUGAAUAGAAUUUUUUGUGCAAACAAUUUUUCUAUGUUGACACAUCCUCUGGAACUUUCAGUAAAUUUUAUGGAGAAGCUUCAAUUUCUUGGUUGUUGAUUUCGAAUACAUUAAGCUCUUAUUUGGUAUUAAAGUAUUGUGGGCUAAAAGCUAUAGUUUUUAUGGAAAGAAAUUUGUAAUUGCGAAAUAAAAGUUGAUUCAGUGUGAUAAAUAUAAUUUCAGAAUAAAAAAUAAAGUAAACUUCGAAAUUAUAAUAGUAAGUAUUUAUUAAAUACUUUAGUGUUGCAGUAACUGUUUACUACAAUAUCAAAUAGGGGGCUAGUACAACAAGUUGUUAUAUUAAAAGUCUCCCAAAAAGGAAGAAGUGACUUAAAAAAUUAAAAGAAUGCAGGAGCUGAAGUUGGCAAUUUUGUAAAUUGCAAUGGCGAUUGUGAUAUAGUAAAAUCCUUCAAUGAAUCACAGCACUAGCGAUUUCGUAAUAUACAGUAGCGGCAAUUUUGUAAAAUUGAAGUAGUGAUAGUUUUGCAAAUAAAAGUAAAAACUUUUUCCCAAAAUUUGGCUGAGCAAAAAGCCAGCUUAGCCCACACUCUCCUUCGCCACUGGUUGAUGAGCUCUUCCUUCAAUUUUUGAACUUGAAGUGAUGCCCCAUCAACGUCCAGAAUUUUUAAAGUCUCCCCACUGUACAAGUUAAACAAUAAAGUCAGAAUGAUGACGGAGUUACAAACAAUCAAAUAUGAUCCUAAUGAUUCUUUUUAUACACUCACCCGUGCAUUGAUGUGUUUAAUUGAUAUAUAUUUAAGCAGAAAUUGAAGUUUGAACCUGAUUAAUUAGAUGCGAACACACAUUCAUGAGUAAUUACUUAAAAUUAAUUAACCAAAAGAGUAAAUAUAGGAGGAAAUCGAUCAUAUGCGUGCGGACACCACAAUCGAAUUAUAUAUUUAUAUCACCACAGCACAUAAAUUUUAUUCGAAUGAUAUAUGAUUAAUUAAUCAAUUUUUAAUAACAAUUAAAUUAUAAUGUCAAUUGUGCACAUAAGAUUUUUUUUCUUGAUGAAAUUAUGAAAGUUAGUAAUUAUUUUCCAUUUUUUAAAUAAUAGUUGUUAAUACAAAUCAAAAAAAUAUUGGGACUUGAGAUCAGGGUCUACUUGAGUUAGAAUUUUUUAUUAGAGAAGCUAUUAGCCAGCAAUACAAAAUAAAGAAGCAACACAAGAUAAAGAGUAAUAUAUUAUAGAAAGAUUUUAUUCGUUUCAAGUGUGUAUCAAACAAAGAGAUAUUUAUAGUUACAUAAUUACUACAUGAAAUUAAUGAAAACAUUAUGGAUCAUACUUCCUUGCGAGAUAGUGAAAGUUAUAGAGAAGGCAAAGGUUGCUAGUGGAAGAUAGUAGAGAGAUUAAGAGAUGUAUGUUAUAAACAUCCAGAUUUAUUUUAAUAAAUUCAUAGCAUUUUUUCCCCUCAAAUAAUAGGGUGUAGAGAACAAUUGGAAGGAGUUUACGCAGCCUAUAAAUUAAUACUCUGACGAAUUAAUAUCCUCUAUUAUAUAAUGACUUUUUUUAAGCACACUAAUAGGCUAAAAUGACAGUUCCAAUAAAUAAAUAAAAUAAUAUAUUUUUUUUGAAAACCCUUACAUAAUAUUGUGGUCCUACUCAUAUCAUAAAUUAAUAAUUUUUAAAUUAUAUAUAAUUAUUACACAUAAAUUAUAUAUUUUUUAAUAAAUUCAUAAUAUUUUUUCUCAAAUAAUAGGGUGUAGAGAACAAUUAGAAGGAGUUUACAAGACUCGCCUAUAAAUUAAUACUCUGGCGAAUUAAAAUCCUCUAUUAUAUAAUAAUUUUUUUUAAGGUUGCUAGUAGGCUAAAAUGAUAGUUCCAAUAAAUAAAUAAGAUUAUAUUUUUUUUUAAUGAAAACCCUUACAUUACAUUAUGGUCCUACUCAUAUAAUAAAUUAAUAAUUUUUAAAAUUACAUAUAUAAUAUUUUAUUUUAAAAAUAUGAUUUUAUUUUUUAUUAUUUUUUCUUGAAAUUUAAAUAUAGUUAGAUUUCAUCUCUAAUUUUUCUUAUUACUUUUGAGGUUAAAUUUUGAAAUUGCAAAAAUUUUGAAUUUUUUUGGUUAAUUAAAUCUGCAGUGAGUGUAUAAGAUGAUUAGAUUAGUAAAAUAUAAUAAAUUUUUAGUUGAUUAAAUAUAUGUUCAUUUAAUAUGUCUUGUGUAUACAGAGUUUACUAAGGACAAGCCGAAUAGUAAGUGAGCAUUUACACUAAUCAAUCGUGUUGAGUUGUGUCUCAUAUUGGCUAGUAAAGGGGAGAUACUUGGGUUUAUAAGAAGGUAUGUCACUCCACCUAAAAGACUAGUAUUUUGGGUUGGAUACCUAGAAAUCUUAUGUUAAGUCCCCUCAACAAAUCGGUAUUGUGCAAUGAAAAUAAGUAAUCUAAAAAUUGCCUAGGAUUUUGCCUUAUAUGUCUCAAAAUAAGCUAAUUAUGCCCAAUUAUGGCACUUGAUGGUUCAACUUUGACAUCAAAGUUGGAAACGUUUUUCUCUAGGGUGAGGCUAUUUGCACUUGAAUAUCUACUUUGAACACUCAUUUACUCAGCGCACUCAAUUAAUAAUUUCAAACUAUUAAAUUUUACUUGGAACACUCUUUUGAAUUCCUAUAUUAUCCACAUUUCUUUAAUUACUUUAUUUCUUCUUUGUACCCAAUAAAAUAUUCAUCAUCACAAACAAAAUAUCUAACUUUUUUUUUCCAUUUUUAUUCACUUUUAUUUUCUGUUCAUAAUCUGUUUUGAUAUGUAUUUGUUCUUCUCUUAUUGCUACAAUUUAAUUCUGUUUGUCAACCCAUAAAAGCAUGCGAAUUGAGUGAAAAUCAAAGUGCAAAUUUAAAACAAAAUCCUUUGAUUUACUUGCGUUUUCUUAUGUUGGAGUGGUGCAAUUUGUUGUUUGUCCUCCACCUCUAUUUUUAAUUCCUUUUGUUUCAGUUAUAAAGAUGAUCAUGAACAUGUUACUUGAUGUUUUCCUAGCAAUUCUAUUAACCAAAAAAAUGAAAAAAAAAAGUUUAGUCCAUAAGUAUAGACAAUGUUUUCAUUUGAAUAUUGAUUCAAUUCUUCGUUGUUAAUGUGGUUUAUUGUAGAUAAAAUAUAAUGUUAGAUAAAAAUUUGUUAUACUGUAUUUUAUAAUUGUCCUUAAUAGAAAAUUACAUUAAGGUUAAUUUAGUAAUAUAAAAAUUAUUAAAUGUGAGUGUCCAAAGUAAAUUUUAGAGUGCAUAUAGUCUCACCCUUUUCUUUGUGUUAUUAUAAUUAAUUUAGAAAGAGUUAGAAAGCUAAGAGUAUCCUUAGUAAAGCUCAAAUAUGUAAUACAUAUCACUAGUGAGUGAGUUUCAUAAACUUUCCUAAUUAAGUAGAUGAAUUUUGGGUUGUAAAUCCUAACACAAUAUCUAUUCAGUUGUUGAGCCUAAAAUAUCACAACUAAAUCGAUAUUGUCCGAUGUAGUCAUGCAACCCUACAUCUUCUUAGUUAGGACAAUUCAUGAAACCACUUAUUUGGGAUGUAGGAGAUGAUACAAAAUUUGUAUGUGCACGUUGGCUUAAUAUCCCAAUUACACACUCGUUUGUCUUCAUGUGCUCCGAAAAGAUCUAUUGUAAUGGAUAUAUUGUAUCUUUAUCAAAGUGCUUGUUAUAAUGAUUCUAUUGUGGUGUUAUUCGAGUUGUCACUUUUAGUUUUUGAUUAUCUUUUUUAAACAUAGUUAAUUUGAAAUGUUCUUUAAUAUCCAACACACUUGAGAUCAUCAAAUAAGUGAUUCCCGAACAUAAUUGCCUCUGAUCAUUUUGUUUGUGCCAAUAAAGGGUUGAUACAAACCAAAGACUUCUUGUCUUUAUUGUCAUUUGAGAGUAAUCAAUUACUUACGCAGUCACAUAAGUUACUGGUUGGCCUCGCACAUUUGAGAGUAACCAAAUGGAAAUGAGAGCAACGUGAUUUUCCAAAGAGAACUUCACACUAUCAUAAAACUGAAAACAUUACAAUUUAAAGCUUAAAUAACAACACACCAAAGCCAAAUAACGACCCACUAGAAUCAUGGUCCAAAGAUUGUUCCAUGAUCACAACAUGAACUACAAAAAAAAAAAAAAAAAAAAAACCAACACCAAAAAAGUAGGAACAAUUUGAAACUUUCGACUAAGCAACAUUUAUGAUCACAUCAGCAGUCCUAAACACAUCUUCUAACAAUUGCAACUGUUCAUUUUUGCUUCUGCCAAUAAACAGUUGAUAGUAACCAAAGAUUGUUGUCUUUAUUGUCAUUUAAGAGUAACCAAUUACUUACGCAGUCACGUUAGUUGCUGGUUGGCCUCGCACAUUUUUGACAAGUUUGUUUCUGAAGGAAAGCAGCUGAGCCGCAACCUCUUCCAUGCUCAUUCGUUCUCUCGGCAACUCUGAAGAGCAAGUGACUCCGAUUCCCAGUACUGAAACCAAGCACUCUUCAACACUAAAAUUUCUGGUCCAUUGUUUGUGAGCACUGGUCUCGCUUGUCUCCCCUUCUUCUCUUUCUACAAGAAGCACUGGAUCAACAAUUUCAGCGAGCCUUUCAGGAAGAGCUUCCUUGACAAAAUUAUGCAGGGUUAGAUUGCCUGUAAACAUCUCAUUCGUCGGCCUCUUUCCUGUAAACGUUUCCAGCAAGAGUAUGCCAAAACUGUACACAUCUCCACUUUUUGAGACCUCACUCCCCAUUCCGUACUCUGCAAUUUGAAAAUUAAAACUGUUGGUUCAACUAGUAAAAUCUCUAAGGAAUGCAAAAGAAGUUAAUUAAAUUAUAGUAUUUGCCUGGAGCAGCAUAACCAACGGUUCCUUUAACUCCAGUAGAGCUUGAUUGAUUAGAUGACAAGUUAUUGGUGGCGUCCGGAAGGAAUUUCGCUAAUCCAAAAUCACUUACAUGGGCAGUCAAUUCACCAUCCAGAAGAACAUUGCUCGGCUUGAGAUCACAAUGGACUAUUGGAUUUUCGCAGUAGUGAUGAAGAUAAUCCAAUGCGGAAGCCACAUCAACGGCAAUAUUCAGUCUUUGGAGGAGAUUUAAAUUCCUUGGUGCCUCAGGGUUUGGAUGCAACCAUUCCUCCAGGCUCCCGUUCACCAUGAACUCAUAAACUAAGGCCUCGAAAUCAUUUCCUUGAAAGUCAACACUUGCACACGAAGUUAUUAUUUUGACGAGAUUCCGAUGCCUAAUACUUCUAAAGGCUUGACACUCCGCUAUGAAACUCUUUGAAGCUCCUCGAUGUUGAAGAUUAAGCACCUUAACUGCCACCAGCGUUUCAUGAUCAUCAUCAUUGAGGAUUCCUUGAUAGACCGAACCAAAGCUACCGGCACCAAUCAAGUUUUCCAAAGAGAACCCAUCAGUUGCUUUGAACAGAUUCUGAUAGGACACUCGUAAAACCGAAGCCAAUACUGCUGAUGGAGGAGGGGCCGGCUCCCUUUUUGAUUUGCUCCGCCGGGAAGUAAUUAUCAAACACGACAUCCCUGUCACUAACAAAAUUACUGCAACUACAGGAAUAAUCAGUUUCAGGGAACGGGCACGUGAUUGCUUUGAUUCUUUGAUGGAACAAGUAGAUAAAUGCAACUCAGAUAUGCCACCACAGAGGUUAUCAUUUCCAUCAAGAGAUAUAGCACUUGAAUUGCUGAAGACUCCUUUUAUUGGUACUUCACCCUCAAAAUGAUUAGAAGACAGAUUUAAAUUCUGCAAAAAGAAAAAGUUUUCAAAAUAUUUUGGAAUCCGGCCAGACAAAUUGUUCCGCGAAAGAUCAAGGUUCUGAAUGCCUCUCAAAGAACUGAAUGAUGAAGGGAUAUUCCCUUGAAAGAAAUUACCAUUCAUGACGAGUUGUUCCAACCUAACGCAACUUCCUAGACUGUUUGGAAUUUCACCAGACAAUUUGUUCUCAGAUACAUCUAGAACACCCAGAUUUUUCAAGAUGCCAAAAUUUGAGGGCAAAGGACCGUUCAAUUGGUUUUGAGAUAGAUCAAGAUAGAUUGAUAAGGAAGAGAGACCAAUCACUUCAGUGGGUAUGGUACCAGUGAGGUUGUUAUUAGAGAGAUCUAAUAAUAUCAAGUUUUUGCAUUUCCCUAGACUUGAUGGAAUGCUUCCCUCUAACAUGUUUCCGUCAAAACUUAGUGUGAAUAACAAUGUCAAAUUUCCUACAGAAGAUGGAAUUUCCCCCAAAAACUUGUUCCCCUUCAGUCUCAACCUCUGCAGCUUUUGAAGAUCUCCUAUACUUCCCAGAAUUCGGCCUGUGAAUUGGUUGUCCCCAAGAUCUAAAAGCUCCAAGUUAACAAGAUUUCCUAAUCCACUUGGGAUAUUUCCGAACAAUUGAUUGUUUCCAACGGUAAAUCUUUUAAGUCGGGUUGACAAGUUCCCCACAGAUUCAGGUAACAUUCCUCCAAAAUUGUUAAUACUAAUUUCCAUCAUCUCUAGUCUAGAAGCGUUGACCAAAGAACUGACAAAUUCCAAGUCAUCUUUUUCCCCAUUUCCUAAGUGAUUCAGAGAAAAGCUAACCCGUUGGAGUUUAUAUAAAUUUUCCAAACUCGGCACCUUUCCACUGAAUCCAUUUUUCUGGAUUGUAAGUCUCAUUAGAUUUGAGGCAUUGGAUAUUGAAGCAGGAAUAGGCCCAGUAAACUGAUUAUUACCAAAGUUUAGUACUUCAAGAUUAGGAAGAGUGAAGCCUAAGUCUGAUGGAAGGCUUCCUUGAAGUUCAUUAACAGGAAAAUCCAAAAGACUAAGCGAAGACAAGUUGUAGAUUGAGAAAGGGAUUUCACCUGAUAGCUUAUUUGCUCCGAAUCCUAUUGAACGCAUCCUCUUAAGCUCGCUCAAGGUUUCAGGAAUUUGUCCCACAAACUGAUUUACAGCUGCUGAAAGGAACUCGAGUGAUGACAAAUUGCCAAAGGAAGAUGGGAUUUCUCCUGACAAAUUGUUGAAGUGUACUGCUAGAGUCCGGAGCUUUGAUAAGGAGCCUAGUUUCCCUGGAACUUUCCCCACAAGCUCAUUGAAGCCUAACCAGAGGGAUUCAAGAUUAACGCAAUGUGAUAGGUUGUCAGGAAUUUGACCUCUGAAUGUAUUUUUCUCCAGGCUUAAUUUUUGUAACCUGAACAGAUAUCCAAUCUCUUGAGGGAUUUCGUUGCGGAAGCUAUUGUUUUUGAGAUCUAACACUCUGAGAAAACUUAAAUUACCAAUGUGAGGCGACAGAGACCCCUGUAAGAGUAAAGAUGGAAGAAGUAAUGCAGUCACCCUUUGGUGCCGUCGACUGCAAGUGACACCUUUCCAUUGACAAAAGUGCCUGGAAUAGUUCCAUGAACUCAAAACCUCAAGAGGGUCAUGAGUAACUUUGGCCUUGAAUUCAAGCAAUGCAAGUUGAUCAGUUUCAUUGCUUUUGAGCAUAUAAUCGGUUGACUGCAAGCUGAAGCUGAAGCAACAGAAAAUAAAGAAACAAAUGCUUACAAUGAUUGAACUCAUCAUGUUUACAAAAUCCAUUUAACUGCCGAAGGAAAUUAAAAUGAUAAAACUUUUGUGGAGGUUGGUAAGAUAAACUAUGUUUGUAUAUUUUUUGCAAUGAUUUAUGGACUCUGUACUUGAUGCUCAAAUGUGAACCGGCUGGCACCGUGACAGUGAAACUAAUACUUUUUGUUUUUCUAAUAAUAUUAAUUAUCAUAUUUAUUACUAUUGUAAGAAUAAUAUAUUGCAGCUUUAAAGAAAGACUCACCAUACUCCUUUUCGAGUCCUGUCAGUUUCCAGCAUUUGGUCAUUUUUUUAUUUCACCGCUUAAUCCACAGUAAAUAUAAAACAAUUUAAUCAACAAUAUUGAAAAAGAAAAAAAGUAGGACAAGAGAAAGGUAAAUACUGUUAAAUGAGUUGGGAAACGUUCAAAGCACGACGGGAAUUAAAAUUAUAAACUUUUAUAAAGGUUGGUAAGAAAAAACAUAUUUGUAUAUAUUUUUUUCAAUGAUUUAUGGACGCUAUACUUGAUGCUGAAAUGUGAACCGGCUGGCACCGGGACAGUGAAACUAAUGCUUUUUAUUUUUCUAAUAAUAUUAAUUAUCAUAUUUAUUACUAUUGUAAGAAUAAUAUAAUACAGCUUUUCCUUUAAGGAAGACCCGCCACACUAACUUUUGACGCUCUAUAAGUUUCCAGUAUUUUGUCAUUUUGUAUUGUAGUGCUUAAUCCACAAUGAAUAUAAAAGUUUAAAGCACCACAGGAUGAUGGAUGGAGUUUCACAUUACUGUUAAAUGACUUUGAAAGGUUUAAAGCACCACAGGAACCAACGUUUCACAAUGCCUUUUUCCCUUGUGAAAUAUUCAGUGCAGUCUCUCCCAGAUUUUGCUAGUGCAACAACGAGACGUCAUGCCGUUAACAAUUUUAAACUGUAAAUGACAUGUUGUUUUUACAAGACAUAUUAUGCGUCGAUACAUACCUUUUCUGGUUGUUGGUUUAUAAAAAUAUAUGAAACGGCAUGAGUGUGACAACUCUUGUAAAAUUUUUAAAAACAACAUAAUCAAUGGUAUUCUUAUCUCCCAGCUGCCGUUUGCCGUUUGGAAUUGUUCUGUAUAAGAUCUUGAUCAUCGAAUUUACCACUAGGGCGUAUGCUUUAUUUUCUCGAAUUACAUUGCUGCCUCAUCUUUUGUGUUUUCGGUUCUGUUGUGGAUCUCCUCUGUUUUUUUCUGAUUUUGGGCCCGAAGGGCACGUUAAUUGAAAUCAACAAAUCUGGUAAAAAUGACGUUAAAUUCGAUCAGAUUUACAUAUUUAAUUACAAAUGCAGUAACCCCGAUCAGAUGCAUACACUAAUUUUAUUUAUUUUGUCAGCUUUAACCUCACUGUCAUUUUGAAUAGCCUACAAGAGUCGAAUGACUAGAUUUCCAAUUUGCUAUCAUCCCCCUUGAAUGGGUUCAAGAAAUUCAGCAGGUUGCGAAACAAUAAGAUUCAUUCAAUCCGUGUAGAUAUCUAACUGACUGAAAUUAAAUAAAUGAUGAUGAUAAGAAAUUUGAAAUCAACAAAUCUCGGCACAUCUAUUCUGCAAUUUAGCCGUACUUCAAAUAAUCUUGCGAUAAAAAUUUCUUAAAAAUCUCAGAAAGAGGACAGAACAACCAAGGCAUCAGCGAAAGCAAUCGAUGUUAGGAAAUUGGUGGGUGCAGCAGUACCGCAACUAAAAUAAAAUUGGAAAUAAAAUAAAGAACAAGCACAAUAGAGGACACCAAAAAUUACGUGGUUCGGCUUUUAGCCUACAUCUACGGGCGAAGACAGAAGGAAAUAUUUUACUAGUGAAAUAAGGAUUACAAGUAUUGUAAGAUUUUAGCUCACUACCCAAAACCCCAAUACACCCAAUCUCUCACUCACUACACAUGCAAGAGUUUAUUAAACUCUUGAAAACUCUCAACACUCAAAGAAAGAAAAAUUUCUCUCAAUGGAAUUGAAUACAAAAUGAAAUGAGGAGCUCUGCCUUUUAUAGCCAAAAAAUGGCUAUUAAAUUAUUAUUUUUACCACCGUCUUCAUUCUGCUAUUUUCUUCUUUCUUCUUUUUUCUUCAUUCCAAAUUUGCUGCUGCCAAAUUCUUCAACAUUUUCUUUGGCCGGCUGUCAAAGCCAACUUUGCUUAUUCAAGGGUUCUAGAUGCAGUAGCUUCUAGAUGCAGCCAAAUUUGACAUUCUCCCACUUGGAGAUUAGAUUGAGAAUCAAUCAAUCUCCACAUCAUCCUUUCUGUUUCGCCAUAAUCAUGUUGCCUACGUUGCUGCUAGGCCACAAGAGGAUCUACUCCAGAUAAACUUGUCAGCAUUUAUUGGCUUGGUCAAAACAUCUGCUAGGUUCUCCUUCGUAUGGAUUUUCUGCAAAUCCACACUUCCAUCUUCCACUACUUCUCGAACGAAGUGAUACUGAACUCCUAUGUGCUUUGUCCUGGAAUGAAAGGCUAGAUUCCUUGCAAUGUGCAAGGCACUCUGACUGUCACAAAACACAAGAAUUUUCUGUUGUUUGUGCCCGAGCUCCUCCAAUAAUCUUUGUAUCCAAAUAGCUUCCUUGCAAGCUUGUGUAGCUGCCAUGUAUUCUGCUUCUGUUGUAGAUAAUGCCACAACGGUCUGCAGUUUCAAAACCCAGCUUACAGCUGCUCCCGCAAGUGCAAACACAUAACCAGUAGUGGAUUUCCUUUUAUCAAGGUCUCCUGCAAAAUCUGAAUACACAUAGCCCCUGACAGUAAACUCUGAUCCUCCAUAACAUAAUGCAACAUCUGAGGUUCCUCUGAUGUAUCUCAGAAUCAUCUUCACAGCUAUCCAAUGCUCUCCGCCAGGAUUCGCCAUGUAUCGACUGACUGCUCCCACUGCUUGUGCAAUGUCCGGUCUUGUACAUAUCAUAGCGAACAUUAAACUUCCCACUGCUGAUGCAUACGGUACUCGAGACAUCUCCUUCCUCUCUGCUUCAUUGCUAGGACACAUACUUGAGGAUAAUUUGAAAUUAACAGGAAAUGGGGUAGAAAUUGACUUACAAUCUUGCAUGUUGAAGCGCCGCAAGAUUUUCUUCAAGUAAUUCUUCUGUGAUAGCCAAAUCUUCCUGUUAUUUUUGUCUCGGUGAAUUUGCAUCCCUAGAAUCUUGUUUGCUGGUCCCAAGUCCUUCAUUUCAAACUCCCUAGCCAACUGUGCCUUCAAUUCUUGGAUUCGAUCUUUGUUGGGACCUGCUACCAACAUGUCAUCUACAUACAACAGCAAAAUGAUGAAAUCAUUAUCUUCAAACCUCUUGUAAUAUGCACAAUGGUCUGAACUGAGUCUGUUGUAUCCAAGGCUCAUGAUGAAGGAAUCAAAUCUCUUAUACCAACACCUCGGCGCCUGUUUGAGACCGUAUAGAGAUUUGUUCAACUUGCAAACCAAGUUCUCCUUUCCUGUUUCUGCAAAACCUUCUGGUUGGAGCAUAUAUAUUUCUUCUUCAAGUUCUCCAUGAAGAAAUGCAGUUUUCACAUCUAACUGCUCUAGAUGUAGGUCAAAUGUAGCACACAUUGCCAAGACUAUUCUGACUGUUGUGAGUCGAACCACGGGCGAAAAUAUCUCGUUGAAGUCAAUGCCUUCUUUCUGAGCAUAUCAUUUCACCACCAAUCUUGCACGAUACCGCUCCACUUGGUCAUUGCCAUCACGCUUGAUCUUGUAGACCCAUUUGUUUCCAAUGGCUUUUCUUCCAUGUGGUAGUGGUACAAGUUCCCAUGUCUUGUUCUUGUGUAGAGCUUCAAUUUCUUCCUGCAUUGCUGUCAUCCACAAAGCAACAUCUGAGCUGUUUAAAGCUUCAUGGAAAGUUGAAGGCUCUCCAUCCUCUGUUAAAAGACAGUAUGCAACGUUGAUCUCUGUGACAUACUCAGAGUGCCACACCGGCGGUCGUCUCUCACGAGUUGACCGACGAACUUCUGGAGCCUCGGACUCGACUGGUUCUUGUUCCUCGUGCUCUGGUGCUGCUUCAGAAGAAUCUGAAUCUUCUGGAUUAUUUUCUACAUAUACCGGCACAAUCUCUGACUUUUCUUUUACAGUGCCAUCAUCUCCAUCUUUCAUUUGCAGUUGAUCUUCUACAAAAAUAACAUCUCUGCUGAUGACGAUCUUGUGGGCAGUGGGGUCCCACAGACGAUACCCCUUUACUCCAUCAGCAUACCCCAAGAAGAUACAUCUUCUAGAUUUUGGAUCCAACUUUGUUCUUUCUUGGGCAUUGUACAUCACGUACACAGGACAUCCAAAUGCAUGUAGGUAGGAAUAAUCAGCUGGCUUUCCAGUCCACAUCUCCAUCGCCGUCUUCAACCCAAUCGCUGUAGAUGGUGAUCGAUUUACUAUAUAACAGGCAGUUUUGGCUGCUUCUGCCCAUAAUGAAUUGGGUAAACCAGCAGUCCUCAACAUAGCUCUUAUUCUUUCUGUAAGAGUUCUGUUCAUCCGCUCUGCCACUCCAUUUUGUUGAGGAGUGUACGCCACCGCGAACUGCCUCUGAAUACCUUCUUGCUUACAGAAAGCAAGAAACUCGCCCUCUGUAUAUUCUCCACCAUUAUCCGUCCUCAAGCACUUGAUCUUUUUACCAGAUUCAAGUUCCACACGCGCUUUGUAUUCUUUAAACACAGGAAAUACAUCUGACUUUUUCUUAAUUGGAUACACCCAACAUCUUCUAGAAUAAUCAUCAAUGAAAGUCACUAUGUACUUUGCACCUCCCAUGGAUAUAUCCGGUGAUUCCCAAACAUCAGAAUGAAUCAAGUCUAGAAUGCAUUUACUUCUAGCAAUAGAUCUACUGAAUUUUAAUCUAUGCUGCUUACUUAUAACACAAUGCUCGCAAAAUGGUCUGAAUUUUAAUCUAUGCUGCUUACUUAUAACACAAUGCUCGCAAAAUGGUAAACUUACCGAUUUGAGCCCCGGAAGCAAUUUUCGCUCAGAGAGAAUCUUCAAGCCUUGUUCUGACAUGUGACCAAGUUUGAGAUGCCACAUCAUCGUUGAUUCUUCUCCAUUUGACGCGACACACGUAUUAGCCUCCUGUAGUGUUUCUCCUCUAAGCAUGAAUAGAUUAGCACCGAUCUUUUCUGCUUUCAUCAAUACAAGCGCGCCUUUAACGAUCUUCAUAAUUCCAUUCUCCACAUGAGUUUUGUACCCAUGACUAUCCAUGUGUCCCAAAGACAAUAGAUUUUUCUUCAAGCCAUUGACAUGUCGUACCUCUCCAAUUGUGCGAAUUGUACCAUCAAACAUUUUUAUUUUGAUAGUACCAAUACCAGCGAUCUCCAAGGCAUGAUCAUCUCCCAUAUAUACAGAUCCUCCUGAGAUAGGUUCAUAUGUGUGGAACCAUUCUCUCCGAGAGGUCAUGUGCCAGGUAGCUCCUGAGUCUAUAAGCCAGACAUCAGACAAUCGUUUUCUGCCUUCUGAAACAGUUGUUGCCUCGCUGUAAAGAAUUUCGCCAUCAUCUGAGGUACUUGCUACACAACCCUGAGCAUUUGAUGACUCAGGUUCUUUUCCCUCUUUUCUCUUCUGGUUACUCCAACAUUCUUUCUUGAUGUGCCCUUUCUUGCCACAUUUGUAGCAUUUAACAUUAUUCUUACUCAUGGAUUUUGAUCUACCCUGAUUUUGACUCCCACUGGGGCCACGUUCCGUUGAUCUCCCUCUCGUCACCGAUAGCGCCUCCGCUUGCUGCGAACUUGCUUGUCUGUUUUCCUUAUUUUUCCACCUGCUCUCCUCAUUUAAUACGGAGGCUGCAACAUCGUCGAAAACUAGACUCUCCACUGGAUUGUUGUUCGUCAGGUUGAUGAUGAGUUGAUCAUACGAAUCUGGUAGACUUUGAAGUAGAAGCUCUGCACGUUCAUUUUCCUCUAUAUUAUGACCCAACAUUGUGAGUUGUGAAAAUAGAGUCUUCAAUGUGUUGAUGUGGUCGGUCACCAUUGUAGAUUCCGUCAUUCGAAGAGUAUAGAGUUUUCUCUUCAAGAAGAUUUUGUUGUGUAGUGACUUGGCCUCAUACAAUUUUGUGAGAGUAUCCCAUAUUUCCUUCGCCGUAUUUUUCUCUGCCACACUGGAUAAUACUCCAUCCGCAAGUGCCAAGUGUAGAUCAGAAAUGGCGUUGCCGUCUACCUCGUUCCACUUGUCAUCAGUUAUCUCCAUGGGCCUUUCUCCAAUUGCUGCCAAACAAUUAUUUUUCCUCAAUACAGCUUUCAUCUUCAUUUUCCACAAUGAAAAAUUAUUUCCGUUAAACUUCUCAAUUUCAUACUUUGCCGCCAUUUUGUUGAUAAAUACUGUACACAAGUUAGUGUACCACCUUGAAUAGUUGUGAGUAUGUGUGAUAAUGCACACCAGGAAAGUUCCCAGGAAAGACUGGAGGGGUCACAAUGGUCCCACUUAAAACCCAGACUCCUUAAGCUCUUAUCGCCUUUGUGACAGAACUUUCCUAGACAUGUACAAAACCACAGUUGUUUUUCUCACACUACUAUUCCCUGCUUUGCACCGGAAAAUUCUUGGAUCGCUUCCACCGUUUCACGUGAAUAGUACCGUAUACGUGAACAAUACCAUAUAUGUGAACAAACCCGUAUACGUGAACAACACAGUAUACGUGAAUAGUGUCGUAUACGUGUACAGUGCCGUAUACGUGAAUAGUACCCCUUACGUGAACAGUUCCCGACUCCAAAAAUACAACCAAUAGCUCUGAUACCACUGUUAGGAAAUUGGUGGGUGCAGCAGGACCGCAACUAAAAUAAAAUUGGAAAUAAAAUAAAGAACAAGCACAAUAGAGGACACCGAAAAUUACGUGGUUCGGCUUUUAGCCUACAUCCAUGGGCGAAGACAGAAGGAAAUAUUUUACUAGUGAAAUAAGGAUUACAAGUAUUGUAAGAUUUUAGCUCACUACCCAAAACCCCAAUACACCCAAUCUCUCACUCACUAGACAUGCAAGAGUUUAUUAAACUCUUGAAAACUCUCAACACUCAAAGAAAGAAAGAUUUCUCUCGAUGGAAUUGAAUACAAAAUGAAAUGAGGAGCUCUGCCUUUUAUAGCCAAAAAAUGGCUAUUAAAUUAUUAUUUUUACCACCGUCUUCAUUCUUCUAUUUUCUUCUUUCUUCUUUUUUCUUCAUUCCAAAUUUGCUGCUGCCAAAUUCUUCAACAUUUUCUUUGGCCGGCUGUCAAAGCCAACUUUGCUUAUUCAAGGGUUCUAGAUGCAGUAGCUUCUAGAUGCAGCCAAAUUUGACAAUCGAGGCAGGGCACGCUCAAGCCACGAAUUAGAGGAAUUUUAAAUAUCAAAACCAGCUCAGAAUAAUAAGAAGUAAAAUGAAACUAAAAAAGGCUCAGAUUUUUGGAUGAGUGAAGGGAAGAUGAGAAGAUGAAAUGCAGAAAGUCAAGAAAUGAAUAAACCAAUAUUAAUAAUCUUGGACCCACAUCUCUAAUUUGGAUUAAGCAUCCAUCUGCCUAUGUGGAUAAUAUUUUUGCUAAUUUUUCAGCCAUGCAGCAGGAUCAUGUUCGUCUUGUUUUAUUUGAUAGAAGGAAUUUUCCCUUGGAAGAAAAUGAUGAGUCGUUUCAACGUAAUGCAGCUACCUAGACUGCAUGGAAUUUCACCAGACAAUGACAAUUUAUUCUCAGAUAUAUCUAAAUCUAACGCCCCCACAUUUGUUUAGUCACCCAAAUUUGAAGGCGUCCGUUUUGAGACUGAUCAAAACUUUUUCCAAAAAUUCGGGAUUCAGGUCGAUCAGGCCGGUUAUGUUUUGAAAACUUGUAAAUUUUCAGUGAUCAAACUUCAAAACUUUGCAAAUAGGUCAAAAUAUGAAAAAUUCUUGAUAUAUUAUUGAAUACUCAUUUUGUUUUGCAUUAAUAUAAGGCUAUGGGUGCUAUCUAGUAAUGUUGGUAAAAUUUCUUGAGUUGAAAACAAUAAAACGAAAAUAGCUCUAAUAGAUCCACCCCUGUUUGAAACUCACUCAUAUGGAUGGGAAAGAAAUUUAGUUACCAUUGGAUUAAAAAAUAAUUAUUAUUAUUAGAAAAAAAAUUGUAAGGCUUCGACAAGAUUUGCUAAUCAUGUAUAGGUUAAAAUUUAUGUGGGUUUGGCCACCAAUUUAGCAUUAGGAACUUAUUGUUUAGGAAGCUAUGGUGGGUGUCGUAGUGGGACUUAUUCUCUUUAAUGCAUAUGGUGAUUUUAAACCAACAUUUAUAUAAUCCCAUUAUAAAACUCAUCAAACCUUCUAAAAUAACAUGUUGAGAUAGUGUGCUAGAAGUAUUUCUCCAACUUCUUAGCUUGAAGCGAUGUUCAUUUCCAUUGAUAGUUUAAUGGGCAAAGCCUUUUGAAUUCUCCAUGUUAUCAAGUUAAUUUUUGCUGGAAAAUGCAAUCCGGAUAUGAAUAGAAUUUUUUGUGCAAUCGAAUUUUCUAUGUUGACACAUCUUCUGGAACAUUCAAUAAAUUUUAUGGAGAAGUUUUAAUUUCUUAGUUGUUGAUUUCGAAUAUAUUAAGCUCUUAUUCAGUAUUAAAGUAUUGUGGCCUAAAAGAUAUAGUUCGUAUGGAAAGAAAUUUGUAAUUACAAAAUAAAAAUUGAUAAAGUGUGAUAAAUAUAAUUUCAAAAUAAAAAAUAAACUUAACUUCAAAAUUACAAUAGUAAUUAUAAAGUAUUUACUAAAUACAUUAGUGUUGCAGUAACUGCCCUACCACAAUGACAAAUAGGGGGCUAAUACUACAAAUUGUUCCAUUAAAAGUCACCCAAAAAGGAAGAAGUGACUUAAAAAAUUAAAAGAAUGCAGGAGCUGAAGUUGGCUAUUUUGUAAAUUGCAAUGGCAAUUGUGGCCUAGUAAAAUCCCUCAAUGAGUCACAGCACUAGCAAUUUCGUAAUAUACAUUAGUGGCAAUUUUGUAAAAUUGAAGUAAUGAUAGUUUUGCAAAUAAAAGUAAAAACUUUUUCCCUAAAUUCGGCUGAGCUAAAAACCAGCUUAGCCCACAGUCUCCUUCGCCACCGGUUGACGAGCUCUUCCUUCAAUUUUUGAACUUGAAGUGAUGCCCCAUCGAUGUCCAGAAUUUUUAAAGUCUCCCCAUUGUACAAGUUAAACAAUAAAGUCAGAAUGAUGAUCCUAAUGAUUCUUUUUAGAGAGUCACCUGUACGUUGAAGUGUUUAAUUGAUGUUUAUUUAAGCAGAAAUUGAAGUUUGAUCCUGAUUAAUUAGAUGAGAACACACAUUCAUGAGUAAAUACUUAAAAUUAAAUUAAUCAAAAUAGUAUAAAUACAGGAGAAAAUCGAUCAUAUGCGUACAGAAAUCACAAUCGAAUUAUAUAUAUCACCGCCGCACAGAAAUAACAAUUAAAUUGUAAUGUCAAUUGUCCACAUAAGAUUUUUUUUUUUUUUUUUUUUUUUUUUGUUGAUGAAAGUUAGUAAUUUUUUUCCAUCUUUUUAAAUAAUAGUUGUUAAUAAAUAUCAAGAAAAUAUUGGGACUGGAGAUCAGGGUCUACUUAAGUUAGAAGUGAGAGUAGUGCAGAUAUGUGGGGAUUAUAUGCAAGGUGGCUUAAAAGUAAAGGAGAUCUUACAAUGUGCUCUGAAGCCCUCUUAAAGCAAGUCAGAUCAUAUCAGGUUUCUCCAUAAAUCUCAUCAUCUUAUAAUAAGUUAGCAUUAUGUUUUACUUUGAUGUUGAUGGAAUUUGUUAAUGCUAAUCAAAUUUUGUUAAUCUCCCUCUCUUUUUUUUUUAAUUUAAAAGAAGGCAAAUAAAAAGCUUUGUGAUUUCAUUUUUGUUUUCUAAAUUUGUUAUCUAAAGGAAUGACAAGUUGAUAACUCAGCCUCUGUGUGUGUGUGUCUGUGUCAGGGAUCUGAUUUGUGGAAAGAUAGAGAUCGGUUUAAAAGGUUUUCAUAUGCAUCCUUGGAACUUUGUAAGGUUUACAUGGAAAUUUCUUCCUCUUCCGGUAGCCGUCGAGAGCUCUUUGCUGCUGAGAUGCACCUGAAGAACGUACUUAAACAAGUAAAACACCUUAUAAUUCGAUAUUUAAGACACUUACAGUUGGUUUAAAGAUUGUAUUUUCUGUUUCUGUUUUUGACUGGUUCAGGGUAAAACUUUUUCUCACUGUGUUAGAGUGCAUUUCUGUUAUUAUAUAGUUUCUUAGAAGAAAAUGCACUUUUUGGAAUCUCAGGCUAAAGGAUUUUCUGACAUGGAAGAGUUCAGGGAUCUUCAAGCUUGCCUUGAUGAAGUGAAGACAAAACUCCAAUCUGGUCCCGUGGCUACCUAAGUAUCAGGAAUGUGCUAUUUUUGAAAUUUAGUAACAAGGUUAAAUCUGCAACUAAAAAUUAUUUUAGUUUGUACUGUAGUGGAGACCUUAAGCAGGACUGAAUAUCUUGUAUUGUUGUAUCACCUUUUCUGUAACAAAACGGUCUAGUUUUACUAUUUUUAUUAUUUUUGUAUUUUCGGUGCUGUAACUAAUCUCAUUUGACAAUUUAAAUAUAUGGCUUCAAGUUCUUUAAAUGUAACAUCAAGUGUUGUUUCAACCUCUGUUCUUUUAUGUAUUUCUUGCAUGCGGUGAUUUCAUUAACCUCAAUUUAAGGACAAUUUCAUAUCUUUUUUCUUUCUGCUUUUCUUUUAUCAUUUAAAAACAACACACACACACACACACACAUUUAUAUUUCAGAAGAGGAAAUUGCACGGGAUAUGACUCAAUACUUGCUAAAUGCCAAGACUAUGACCCAAUUAUUUACAUGCCGAGACUAUGACCGAAUAACAAGUGAAAGUACACAAAUAUCCUUAUAAGUAACUAAGUUAAAAAUAUAAAACUUGAGUUAGGAAGUUUAGGAAUGCAUUGAACUUGUAUUCAUUACUUUGAUUAAUCCAUUUACCGUUAUACAAGACAAUAACACGUACCAUAUCCAUUUACAUAAAAAUUAUGAGUUGACAAAGUAAGAAUAUUAACAAAAAUAAGUUGUUAAAAGUUCUUGUAGACUUCUGUGCUUCAGUUCUAGACUUCUAGAUUUAUAGACUUACCUACAUGUCUAUAAGUCUAGAUGUAAAGAAGUCACGAAAACGAUAACAAUGAUAAACAAACUCAAUUCAACAACAAAUUUGAUGUGUAAAAAUUGUGUUGAAGAAUUUUUUGGAAUCUGUUUGAAUUUGUUAAGGGAAUGUGAUGAUUUUAGUAAGUGUUUGAUAACAACUUAGAAUGUUGGACGCAUUAUAGUGCUGGGUGCAUGCUUUUGUUGGAAAAGAUAAGGGCAUUUUAGACUAGGGAUCACCAAAAUGUCAUACAAAUUUAAUUGAGUAAAAUUUGUCAUAUUUAUAUAAAAUGUACAUGAUUUUGUCAUAUAUAAAUAAAAAACCCAUUUCAGAAAGCAUUUAAACAAAGCGAGAGUACAAUAAAAAACCCAUUUUAGAAAGCAUUUAAACAAAGCCAGAGUACAAUAUAGAAAGAUUUUACUCAUUCUAAGUGUGUACCAAACAAAGAAAUGAACUCUCCUUUUCUAGUUAUAUAAUUAUUACAUGAAAUUAAUAAAAACAUGACGAAUUAUAAUUCCUUGCGAUAUAGUGGGGGUUAUAGAAAAGUCAAGAGUUGCUAGUGGAAGAUAAUAGGGAGAGUACAAUAUAUAUAUUAUGAACAUUCACAUUUAUUUUAAUAAAUUCAUAGCAUUUUUUUUGCUUAAAUAACAGGGUGUAUGUAUAUAUAUAUUGACAUAAAAAUUGCAUGACGUGUGGUUUAGCGUUUCUUGGUUGUUCAGUGCUAGUUUUAUGUCAAUUUUUAUUGACAUAAAAAUUGCAUGACACAAAAAAGGCUGUUUUAACCAACUAAAAACCAAAAGCUAAAACCCAAAACCCCCCUCUUUUUCGUUUUCCAGGGACUUCACCUUGAUAUUCAACCAACACUUCUGAUGUCUGCCCUUCAAUAAACCAAGUCAUUCAUACACAUGAUUCUACUAUUGGUGAUGCCUCUGAUGUUUUUGUGACCCCAAAAUUAUUGGGGAAUAGUCAUGAAUCUGAAUCUGGAGUCCAAUGCAUUCACGCUGGUGGCUCAGCAGCCCAUUUAAAGGCAAUCCAACAGGCAGUGAUCUUGUCGAGGUGCCUUCUAAUAGAAAAGAGCUCAUGGCAAGAUGAAAUGCAAAGUAAGUUGUUUUAUGGUUGGCCGGUGUGUAGUCAUCUCGUUAAAGGCCAUAAGAUGUUUAGCAUAUUGCUAUUUAAUUUUUAAAUCAUUCUCAGUAAUAAUUCCUUUAGUAGAUUGAUGAUAAGAGAUUGCAUUACAGAUGAUAACGGAGCACAAUUUUUGUAGUUGUAUCCCUGUACAUCCAUCUUAAUAUCCUCAUUAUAUUCACAUGCCUUUUACGGGUGUUAUUUCUGGAUGCCGAAUGCUUUGCUCCACGUCUGGAUACCAAAUGCUUUGUUCCACAAAGCUGAGCUGGUUGAAAAGCUAGCUGAUGAGGUCAACACGUCCCUUAAGUAAUUUGAGGAUGAACACUGUGUUCCCGAAAGUCUUACUCUAAUGAUACUUAAAGAAGCAAUGAGAAUGGAUGUUGCAGCAGCUUUGCUGAACUCAACUCCAGUUCCAAAAAUGGAACAUGUGAAAACCGAAAAUGCAUUGUUUUUUUUUUUUUCCUCUUUAUGACUUCUCUAGUUGGGGAAUGUAUUAGAUAUUCACCUAAUCAGUAGGCCUUGAAGGGAUCCCAUGUUAGCCCCUUGAUGUUGGUCUGUAACUAAGUAAAUACUUGACCUUGAAAAAGCUUUUGGAGGCAUCAGUUUCUCUCUGACUGGUGCUACUUUUUGGAUCUGUUGAUUUGGUCAUUUGCUGAUUUAUAGUUUGUUUUCUGAUUCAGGAUGGGAUAUGGCUCCAUACAUAGAGGCAACUGAUUCACAGCAGUCGUCAUGCUUCAUUGUAAAUAUAUAUACAAUACAGCAUCAGUUUUUCUUGAUUUUAAAUCUCAUAUUCUGAAGUGGUACUUCUGAUUCUCACAUGAUUUUUCCAUCUUUCAGCUAAAGUUUUUCUGUGAUCUCUUACGUAUUAGAUGGGAAUCCACCCGCAGUCGCACAAAAGGGCGUGCUUUAGAGAUGAUGGACAAACUGGUAUGAUCUGUGAGCCUUUUCUUCUUAAAUAUUUUGUUACCUAAACCAUUUUCAUUCAAAUUGACAAGUGUUGCUUAUCAAUCUAUAGAAGAUUCCAAACUUUCUGCAGCUAGUACUUUAUUGGACCCAAAAGCUUUUUUGCUUUUUCUAAGCUGCUAAUCAGGACUAGGUUUCUCUCCCUUAUAUCGCUAGAUAUCCCAUUAAUCGUUUGAUUUAGUUGUCUAGAGAGAUUAGGUACUUGCAUCUUCGCUUUUCACUUCACAAGUGAUUUCAUGUGCUAUCCUGUAUUCUGGUUCAAGAUUUUUGAAGGUUGCUUACCAUCAUAUUUUGCUUUGUUUCAGGUUGAGGGCAUUUCUAAUUCUUCUCCCGGUGUGACUCAAAGGAUUCCCUUUUGUUAUGUGAUUUAAGUUCCAACUAUUCCUACCCUGCGAAAGUAAUACUAUUUCUUUUGCUUCUUUGAAUGAUUGUGAUUUAAUUUUCUUGUCAUUUUGCCAACUAUCAUUAUGCUGUCAUUGUUUCAUAUCUUAUUUGACAUAUGUUGAUUUGGUUAGAGUUUAAUUGCUCUGUUUAUUCUCUUUAUAAUCUGUCUAUUUCGAUUUUUCUUGAUUUUAGGGAAUAUGCUGAACUUUUAGUAAGCUGUGGCUUGAUUGGAGAGGCUAUUAAAAUUUUUGAGGAUCUGGAGUUGUGGGAUAAUCUAAUAUACUGCAACUGGUAUGAUGUCAUAGAUAACCAUUAUCCUAAUCUCUCUGUCUGUCUGUCUGUCUCUAUCUCUCUCUUUCGUGUUGCUAAUGGGAGUUGGUUUUUUGUAUGAUGUAAAAAACAGCCUAUUGGGGAAGAAAGCAGCAGCUGUUGAACUAAUAAAAGCAAGGCUGUCUGAAAAGCCUAGUGACCCUAGAUUAUGGUUGGUUAAUGAGCCUUUUCUAUGAUCCAUUUUAUAGUUACUUCUCAUUUCAGUUAAAUCCAUUGUUGAUGUCACUUAUUGCAAUCUAGGGAUAAUUGUUCAUUGGUUGUAAGGAUAUUGUCAGAAGAAAAUGAAACCUUUUAAUUUUGUCUUUUACUUGCUGUAGCCGAUUUAAAAGCUCACUGUGCGUUCUUACUGAUUGCUUUUGGUCUUGCAUUUGAGUCAAUGGAUUUUAUACUCAUAUUCUGACAUUUAUUGUUAGUCUUCUGACGGUUCUGCACCUUGGUCCUAUAUUAUCUUCAGCAGUAUUAUCUAAAAGAUAAGUUUUUGCCGAAGAAAAUUUGCAUUCUAAACUAGAAAAUGAGGGGCCGGGGGGAGGGGGGGGGGGGGGUAGGUUGGGAGGCAACGGGAGACUGUUUUCCACUUAUCCUCUUCCCUGCCUGCAUUUUAGAUGAUUUUGAUGCACCAGGUGCCGUGAAAUGGUUGAGAAAUACAUACCAUCAAGUGAAUUCUGAAAAUCAUUUCCUUUUUGAAAAUAUUUGGUGCUAGACAUUUGAAUAUAUGGCCACAAUUUAAACAAUAAAGAUUUUCUGCAUUGAUUUCUUAUAAUGGAUAGAUGCAUGUAAGUAAAAUAUGAUAUCUUUUGAUUAUUGGCCCAUUUGUUCAGAAAGAAGGAAAAAAAAAAAAAUACAUGGUUGAAAGACAACUGUUACUUGACCUUAUGAUACAUUUUGUAGGUGUUCAUUAGGUGAUGUUACAAAUAAUGAUGCCUGCUAUGAAAAAGCUUUGGAAGUUUCGAAUGAUAAGUCAGCUCGAGCUACGGUGAUAUUGUAGUUCACAUUAUGCUUGUGCCGUGAUCAUUUUUUAGUUAACAUAUCUUUAUGUGAAUCAGAGGUCUCUAGCUCGUAGUGCAUACAACAGAGGGGAGUACGAGACAUCUAAAAUCCUUUGGUAUGUUGCUUUAAUGCUUUACUUCUCUUUCUGCCACACAGUAAUUUGCUGCAUUGACAACUGAUACGGCUGAAUGACAAUUUACCCUUGGUUUUGUCUCGGGGAGGCUGCCAUGGCCUUGAAUUCUUUGUAUCCGGAUGGCUGGUUUGCUCUUGGUGCUGCUGCAUUGAAGGUAUCAUAUUUUUGUAUUAGUAUGUGUUUAGUGUGAAGCAAUUUCUUAUCCUUUUGCCCCAAGUUUCUGAAACUCUCGGCUGAAAUAUAAAUACAGGCUCGGGAUGUUGAAAAGGCUCUGGAUGGGUUUACUCGGGCUGUUCAACUUGAUCCAGACAAUGGGGAAGCUUGGAACAAUAUUGCUUGCUUGUAUGCUCUUUUCUUUGUCAUCAUGUCAUUCCAUCCUCUUGCUCUGUAUUCUUUAAUAUUGUGUCAAUCACAUUCAUCUUCUAUCUGCAAGAGUAUGCUUCCCAUAUUUGGUUUACUUUGUUUUGACUUUCUUGUUGCAGUUGUUCUAUAUAAAUUUUAUAUGGUUCCAUAUUCCCUUGAUGAGUGAAUUUAGUUGCUGCAAAUGUUAAGAACUAGAUAGUACUGUUAUAAUUAGGAAUAGGGCAAAUAUUAGCCAGCUCUUUUGAGGAUUAUCCAUAGCAUAUACCUCCGUCGUUUUCAAAGCGAUUGAAGUUCUCCCUUUUGUCUUAUUUAAAAGAAAAAAGCACAAAUUGCUUCCCUCACAUCUAUCUACAGUCUCUUUUCUCUCUGUUUAAUUUUUUCUUGUGCUUAUUAUUUGUCUUUUAAUGCAUCUUUUCUUCUUAUUUUAUACUGUACUAGAAUUUGUGCUGUCUCGAUUUUAUCUUGCAUGUGAGUUACUGUGUUUUUCGCAAUUGUAGAACUUUAUUUAGCAGCAUAAUUAUUAGUUAGUGAGACAUUAAUUGGUUAAUACCACUUGUGAAGAUACGAAGAGCUACUUAUUCUCUCUUCUAGUACAUUUAAAAAAUUCAUGACAAAAUAUCUGGGAUGGUAAAAUUCUCGUCAAUUAUAACUACGGAAGUCUUGAGAUUUAUGUAGUCUUGCAGGCAUAUGAUCAAGAAGAAGAGCAAAGAGGCUUUUACAGCAUUCAAGGAGUCCCUAAAGUUGAAGUUCUGUCUUUUUUCCCCCUGAUCACUACAUUUUUAUUUUCUGUCAUGCACAAUGCAGUCGGACACUAUCUGAUCACAAGAAAACUGUCAUACAUAAUUUGUUGCUGCUAGGCAAAAGGUGAUAUCUAAUGUAAUAACCUAUAACAUGAUUUUGUAACAGACGGAACAGUUGGCAAUUGUGGGAAAACUACAGCCAUGUUGCUUUGGAUGUGGACAAUAUUGGUCAGGUAACCGCGGUUGUGCGCUUAAUGUCCAUCAUUUAUCACUGAAAUCUUUUGAGAUGAAGCUGGCAUUUCCUUAGCCACCCUCUGAUGGUUUUGAUUGCUUCAUGUAUGUUGUCAUCUUUGUCAACUAAUGAAAGCUGCAGAGAUUUUGUCAUCUUUUCAUUUAAAAGAAUUUGAUAGUUUAUAGCCCAUUGUCAUGUUUGCAUAUGUAUGUUAUUGUUCUUUUGACCUUUUUGUACCUCAGCUUCAUCCUUUUAUGCAAGCAAUUCUUUGUCAAGAAAUAUCUGGUUAACAAUUUCUUCGCAUGAAUAUUUUUACGGUCAUCAAGGUCCUUGAACAGUCAUGGUUAAUUGAUUACAGAUUCUCAAAUUUAUAAUUAUUUUUUUCAGGGUCAUUGUCCUUUGAUAUAUGCAAUUGAUGCAUGACUUUCUAACCAUUAUCUCCCUGCCUUCACCAUGGUCGUAUAAAUAUUUUGACAAGUGGGGAUUUUAUGAUUACUGUGUGCUAGGAAUUUUUUUGGUUGGAAAGAAAUGGGAGGAUUUUUCAAGAAGCUAGGGAGGGAAGACACCAAAUUUUUUUUGGUGGAUAAAGCCUGCUGUCACUUUGGGCAUCAAUUUCUAAUGAAUGCAAUAAUGUUCCUUUCUUUGCUAUUCAUUAAAAUUGAGUUGUUCUUCUUGGAUGGCCUUCUUUUUACUUCCCAUCAUUUUGCCAGCUUGUUGAUUGUCAUUUUUGCUUGUUGGCAGUCUUUUCCUGCAGUGUUGAUAAUAUUUAAUUAUAAUAUUAGACAACAGUGUCCUCAACAUGAUCUCUCUCCCAAAUUAUUACUCUUUUAUUCAUUAUACUUUUAGCAGUUUCUUUAUUUUUGUUAUAUUUUAUGUUUUCAGGCUCUAGAGGCUGUGCAGAUGGUGUUGAACAUGACUAAUAAUAAACGAAUUGAUACUGUAUUAUUAGAAAGAAUAGUGCUAGAUAUGGAAGGAAGGACUUCAAUUAUAGAAUCUGAGUCUUGCAGGACUACCCAUAAUCUUAACAGAACUAAUAACACUUGUGCAAAAGAUUAACCUGUAGAAUCUGUCCAUGUAUCAUCACCUGAGGAGUCAAUCAUGGGAAGAUCGCGAGAAAAUGAGCACUUGAUGGAGUUUCUUGGGAAAAUUCUUCAGCAGGUUGCACAUGGCUCCAUGAUCAUCUUUUUUCUGUCUUUUAAUACUGAGCCAAGGGACAGUCUCUCUCUUUCACGCAUAUCCACAACACAUGUACAUAUUUCUCAUAUUUCUAUGCGUAUAUAUUGUCAUUUCUGAUCUUUCUUAGUUUAUAUGAUAAUUGUCUUUGGGCAUAUGAUUCAUAUUUUCUGGGCACCCUAUGGUCUGUGGGUCAAUAAUAAUCCAUAGUAUCUGAAUUUCUAGACAAAAUUGGUCAUUUUAGCAAAUCAUUUGGAUGUAUCUAUGCAGCAGUUUACUAUUUUAGUGCUUGCAGGAAUUGGUAUGCUUAAAUUUUGGGCUUAAAUUGUGUGAAAAUAAUCAAAGUGAUAUGCAAAUUAAUUCAAGCCACAUGAGGAAAGAAUAUCCUUUUUUUUUUUUUUCAGCUUAUGUUACAUGUUUCUGUGUAUGGCAUAGGUAGUUCGAAGUGAGAGUAGUGCAGAUAUGUGGGGAUUAUAUGCAAGGUGGCUUAAAAAUAAAGGAGAUCUUACAAUGUGCUCUGAAGCCCUCUUAAAGCAAGUCAGAUCAUAUCAGGUUUCUCCAUAAACCUCAUCAUCUUAUAAUAAGUUAGCAUUAUGUUUUACUUUGAUGUUGAUGGAAUUUGUUAAUGCUAAUAAAAUUUUGUUAAUCUCUCUCUCUCUUUCUUUUUUAAAGAAGGCAAAGAAAAAGCUUUGUGAUUUCAUUUUUGUUUUCUAAAUUUGUUAUCUAAAGGAAUGACAAGUUUACAAUUCAGCCUCUGUGUGUGUGUGUGUGUGUGUGUGUGUGUGUGUGUGUGUCUGUGUCAGGGAUCUGAUUUGUGGAAAGAUAGAGAUCGGUUUAAAAGGUUUUCAUAUGCAUCCUUGGAACUUUGUAAGGUUUACAUGGAAAUUUCUUCCUCUUCUGGUAGCCGUCGAGAACUCUUUACUGCUGAGAUGCACCUGAAGAACGUACUUAAACAAGUAAAACACCUUAUAAUUCGAUAUUUAAGACACUUACAGUUGGUUUAAAGAUUGCAUUUUCCAUUUCUUUUUUUGACUGGUUCAGGGUAAAACUUUUUCUCACUGUGUUAGAGUGCAUUUCUGUUAUUAUAUAGUUUCUUAGAAGAAAAUGCACUUUUUGGAAUCUCAGGCUGAAGGAUUUUCUGACAUGGAAGAGUUCAGGGAUCUUCACGCUUGCCUUGAUGAACUGAAGACAAAACUCCAAUCUGGUCCCGUGGCUACCUAAGUAUCAGGAAUGUGCUAUUUUUGAAAUUUAGUAACAAGGUUAAAUCUGCAACAAAAAAUUAUUUUAGUUCGUACUGUAGUGGAGACCUUAAGCAUGACUGAGUAUCUUGUAUUGUUGUAUCACCUUUUCUGUAACAAAACAGUCUAGUUUUAUUAUUUUUGUAUUUUCGGUGCUGUAACUAAUCUCAUUUGCCAAUGUAAAUAUAUGGCUUCAAGUUCUUUAAAUGUAACAUCAAAUGUUGUUUUCAACCUCUGUUCUUUUAUGUAUUGCUUACAUGCCGUGAUUUC
rnacentral:lncRNA from 1 species